UCUCAAGCAGUAUGUCUUGUCCCAGCCUUGGGGGAAAACCUGUCACAAGCAUUAUGACCAGCAAUACAUUCAGUCAUUGAUACUAGUUUUCGAAUCAUCAAAGCAAAAAUAAAGAUGAAUGGACACUCACAUCAAAGCUUAUUUGUCCUCCAAUAGAAAAUGUCAGGUUUAGGUGAGCAAACUUCUCACGAAGCACAGAAACCAUCUUCGGACGUAUGUUGUGAAUCUGAUAUGAUUAUAAAUUGUGUUGUUUGUUUCAGGAUGCAUGUUUAUCCAAAUACAAUCAAUUUAUUGCCACAAACACAAAUUGACAGUUCAAUCUUUUGCUUCGAAGGAUCUGAAGUUUAUACCUUGUCAUACUUUUCAAACUCAUCACGCUCUUCCUGGCUGCAGUUUCGCCCAAUUGGUGAUACAUUGAGCAUCCCACUUCGGAACUCUAUAAAGGUUCCCCUGAAGAAGAAAUUAAGAGAGGAACGUAUCAAUCUAAAUGUAAAUUAAUAACUGCUAUUCAGGUUUCUGCUUUGCUAACCUUUUUAUUGGGAUAUCCAAGUCAGCAAUAUAAUGAAGUGUGAAAUUAAUAAUUUCCUGCACAAUCAUUUGUAACACAUCAAAAACAAUAAAUGAACAGACGUCUGCACAACCAUUUGCAAUGCAUUGUGUGUGUGUCAACAGAUGUUGGAGAACUAAUAUUAAAUUUUGCGUAUCUAGUGUUUGAGUCUUCUUUCAAGAUCACCUCCAACAAAAUGUCCCAAGCCAAAAUUACCCAACAGGAUAACCUUGGUGUUCCACAUUCCCUUUAUUCCAGUAAUAAUAAGAGUAAAAAUUGCAGAACAAGUAGAUUUAUUUUGCCCAUCAUGUUAUAGCAGUUUUAGGCUCGAGGAUAGUAUAUAUGUGGAAAUUUUCACUGUCUCAAUCCUUGAUUGUGUAAGAGCAUCCAAUGGAUCAAACAUUCCUGUUUAUGUCCUGAUACUAUGGUUUUCUUCCAAAAAUAAUUUCAUUUGGAAGGUUCUUACCUUCAGCUUUUCUUCUCCAAGAAAUGUCUUCAAGCUCUGCAUAAAGGAAAUAUAUGAUCAUCAAGGAAGUAAGCAUUUGAUGUAAUAAAAGGGGAAAAUUUAUUAAAAGAAAAAAAAAAGUGUAAAAUUUGAAUAGAGAGCACCCUAAAAUUAAACCACCUUCACAACCCCACCCCAAACCCACCAUUCCUCCCCCUCCAAACCCCACAACCCCCCCAACACACACACACACACACACGCACACACAAACCAUACCCAAUUAAGGUUUUUAUGCAGUAUCAAAGAAAUAGAAGCUAUAUUAAGGGGGAAAAAUAACUGCAUUUAUGAUGAACACUUUUAUGUGCUAGAGCAUGCAGUCCUUUAGUUUUUACAAAGAUUCUCUAGCACACUUUUUUUUUUUUCUCUAUAUGUAUGUACCUGCAUCUCUGACACAAGAAUUAGCUUCUUAUCAUGAGAGGGACUAUUAUAUGUUUGUUAUUUUUACUUAUGGCACACACCAAGGACCAUUAAGUACUUAUUGGUUCUUUUCUUUCUUUCUCUAUUUUUAGUUGCAGUCAUUAUCUCACAUUGGGUGGCUGAGGAACCUAACAAAUUUGUUAUGCCAGGGAAGCCCUCAACAAUCUUUGAUGCUAAGGCACCCCCUUAUAAAGUGCAAUCCUGAUGCUUCCCACAUGAGUUCUUUGAUAAUAUCUCAAUAUCCAGGAUAGUAUUUGUCCACCAGAAUGGUGAGUUAAAAUAAAUUUGAUGGGCAGUUCUGAUUUAUAAAAUUCAAACAUAAGAUUCUCAGUUUAAGGUUUAUACAAUACCUGGGUGCCAAUGAGCUUCCCAUCUUUAUGAGCCACUAGACCAUUUUCGGAAAAUACAUAAUCAUAGUCAUCAAUAACUGCACAACAAAAGAUAAGGUUCAAAAGACAAGGCAAUAAUUUCAUGAAGAAUCAUAUAUAAAGAAAAAGGCCAAUGUAACAAGGCAGAGUACAACAACUUAUAACAUACUGUUAAAAUUUAGCAGGUUUAAAUAAAUUUGUAUGAUUCAGUUAAUAAAAGCUAUGUACUCAGAAAAUUGAUUAUAAUAAUUUCCAGAGAGUUCAAGUAAAGGAUACUACAUCAGCCUUGCUUUAUAAGAUAGCUUUGGCUAGUUUUACAGCCAUGGAGAUUCUCCUAAAACAGUGUCAUCUGUUCCAUUUAGUACACCAAGCUGAUCUAUAUUAUAGAAGAGACACCAAGUCACCAGAAAAUUACUCAUCCUUUUGCUUUAAUUUUCUACUUUUUACCAAAAUCUACAGAAAAAUACUAUACUCUAUAGUACAGUAGAAACAGAAAUAUUGGCCUUUACGGGUGGUACCAAAGACCUGCAUAGAAACCCACCUUCAUCAGGUAUGGAGGACAGGGGUUUCAUGCAUUAGAAGAUCCCAAUCUAUGGCCCAUCAUUGCAUUUGGAACAGGGAAAAAAAGGGAAAAAUAAAUUUGAUCGUUACAGAAGUAACCGAUCAUAAGGAAUGGAAACCUAACAUACGUGAAAAGAUUAUCAAUAUCAAGACCCAUGAUUAAAAAAAGGUUGCAUCUGACUGACAUGAUUAGUAUAGUUGAAGCAUGGGCUACACCAGAGUAGCCUGGUAUAGGAGUUCGCCAAAACAAAGGCAAAAGCUAACAGAUUCCAGCCUUCUUGAUCCAUUUCACAAUAGUCUCUUGAGUACAAACUUUAAAGAAGUAGGAACAAACCUGAACUUCCAAGCUGCUCUGAUAUCUUAACAAGGUCAGAUCCUCCAACAACCCCAACUGUAAUAACCUGGAAUAAAAAAAAGCUAUUACCAACUAAGCACAAGAAACAUUUUAAUUCCUUGGAAUUACCAUAAAUCAAAGAGCCAGAUUGAACAAGAGGCAAAGUAGUAUUCAAUCAAGUACCUUCCGUAGUUUCCGCAUGAACUCUAACAUCUGUGGAGUAGCCACCUUGUAUAAUGAACCAAAUGAAGAACUUCUCAGUGUUUAUUCAAUAUAGACAGAAAUUCAGCUCAAAAACAACAGCAGAAAGUUACAGGCAACAACCACUCAAAUUUGUAAUUUUUAUAACUCAACCAACUUAAAAAUCAGCAUACCACCGUACCAAUAGAAACUAGUAAAUUUACUCAAACUACUAAAUCAAUCAUAUUCCUUAAACUUCUCGAAAGAGCCUCUAUACAAAUAUAGCAAGUGAUCUCCUACUCUACUAAGAAAAACUUCCAUUAACUCAACAUGUUAUUAAAUAAACCCAAUGUUCAUUCACCAAAAAUGGGUAAAAAGUGCACAUUUAACAAAUAGUCUAAUAAAGCCAUCCACAUGUAUAGAAUAAUAAAUCCUACUCAGAUUGUACAGAAACUCAUCACAUUAAUCAAAUCAAAACAGAAGAUUCAGACCUUUCUCGGCGCUGUGAGAGUCCCAUCAACAUCGAACAAUGCAAUUAAGCCAGCCUUCCUUGCCGCCAUUGUAGUGAACUUCCACCAGACCUUAACAAAAUUUCAAAUCUUCAAUCACAGAAUUGGACAAAAAGACGCAUCAAACUCAUGAACCAGUUUCUUCCAAACUACGAACUCAUCUGGAAAAAAAAUAACAUAAUUCUGUUUUUUUCCACAGAACAUUUUGCCGCAAGCUUUCCCGGGAAAUUAAAAUGAAAAAAAAAACUAAUAUUUACUCAGGGAUCUACUUUUCGGCGGAAUUACAGCGUGAAGCUUGAAAUUCAAUGUUUUUCUCGGGAAAAUUUCCCAAUUUUUCAUGGAAUCAAACGGAAAGCAACAUUGGCAUUUGUUGUUCUGAUAAAAAUUAAAACUAAAAUAAAAAAUUCAGAAAAAAAUAAAUAUAAUUGAGGCUUACCUUCAAAAAAUGAAUUCUCUGAAAUGAAUUGAAAGAAAGAGACUUAUAGAGGGGGAGAGAGAGUGGAGAUCUGGGGAGCUUUUUGGGAUAAAAGGAAUUUAUUGAGGGUAAUUUGGGAAUAAAAGUGGAUCUGCAAAAAGUCGUGGCACUGAAGUAGAGUACACUCGUGCUGACGUCAGGACAAGAAUAUUAGGUGGGAUUUGAGGCUCUCCAAUCUCCUUGUGGGAAAAAAUAUUUAAUUUUUAAUAAUUAUAAAAAAAUGUUUUAUUAUUUUUAUAAUUUUUGAAAAACAACAUAAAAGAUAAAACGCUACGUUUGGUUGGAUAAGGAAAAUAUGCGAAAAAGAAAAUUAAAAAAAAAGUGAAAAAAAAAUUAAAGUUAAUUAAUUAUUUAUAUAUAUAUAUAUAUAUAUAUAUAUAUAUAUAUAUAUAUAUAUAUAUAUAUAUAUAUAUAUAUAUUUUUUUUUUUAAAUUCAUUUUACUUAUUUCUCUUUUUUAUAUAAAAAUUAAAUAAUUUUAAAAUAUAUAAUUUUUUUUUUAUUAAUUUUAAUUAUAUAUAUAUAGUAUUUUUAAUAAUAAAACUAAACAUACUUCACAAUAUUUUUUGAAAACCAAAAUAACAUUAAGAUGAAAGAAAGGCUCGAGAUUGUGCCAACCAAUAACAUUAUCCAUGUGGGUAUGUACUCUUUUUUUUUUUUCCUUGGUGAUUAGGUGUACUUAAUCAAAUGAUAUUCUAAUUUUUAAGAAAUAUAAAAAAUAGUUUAAUAUUACUGUAGCUUUUAAAAAAUUUGGAAAAGAAAAAAUGAAAACUGAUUUGUGAUUUUUAAUAAUAAUAUUUAAUUUAAUUGUCUGAUAAAUUAUAUGAAUAUUAAAUUGCUAUAAAUAUUUGUAAUGUAAUACCACAAAUCCAAUUUAAGGGUAAAAUUAUAAUUUAGAAAUUAAUAAUUAAUUAAAGUAAUUUAAUAAGGGUAAAAAAGUCCUUUUGUAUUUAAAACCUCCAAAUAUAAAUUAGAUUUUUAUUGUACUCUCUAUUCAAAAAACCCUUUUACAUAAAGAUAAAAAAGAUUAGAUAAUAUAGAAUUGAGGAUUUGGAGGUUUAGGGUUUGAAGAUCAAUUCUUCAAGUAAGAUUUUUAAUACUUAAAUUAAUAUUUUAUAUUCGUUAAUUAGUUUUGAACACUGUAAAUAUUUUUUGAAAUAUCUCAAUUUUGAUUAGAAUUCGUUUAAUUAAUUUCUAAGUAGAAAAGAUUAAAAAUUUAUGAACCUAGUUUGAUGUAUAACAAAUCUAGAUAAAAAAAAAUUAAAAUUAUAUAAUUUUGAAUGUGAAAAUUACAUAAAAUUUGUGAGUAUAAAAGUUAAAAGUUUUUACUUUAGAGAGGAGAAAAAAAGGAAUGAUGAAAGAUGCUAGUAGGUAGGAAGGAUUUGGGAUGUUGAAACAAUAAAUAAAUAAAAAAAUUAAAAAAAAAAAAAACAAAAAAAAACUAAGUGGCCUGCAUGAUGACCUAGGAAAGGAAGUAAACAGUAUUUUGGUAAACAAUGAGGAAGAAAAUGACAUUGAUGGCUUGGAAGAGAAAUAGGUUAAGGAGAUGUUCGUUAUUGAAAUAAAUAAAUAAAUAAUAAUAAUAAUAAUAAUGAAGGGAGUUGGUAUAGAGUUGUUGGAAUAAAAAAAAUGCAUGACGUAUUUUUAAGCUUUAGUAGGAGAUUUAAAUAAUAGUAAUAAUAGUUUAAUGUAAAUAAAUAUUCUUAAAAGAUUUAAUUUAGAUAAGUUAAAAAAGAGAAAUAAAUUAUUGUUUAGGAAGUUAAAAAUAAUAUUGGAUGAUAAUAAUAUUAACAUGAUAAAUUAAUUAGGAUCCUUAAUAUUAAAUAAAAUAUUUUUAGGAUUGUCAAAUUUAUAUAUUUAGAUAAUUAAUCAAUAAUCAAUAUUGUGUAUGAUAUUAUGUUAUGUGAGAAAUUCUUUAGAGUUAAAUACUUUAAGAUUUUGAGUGCUUAUUUAAAGUAAGGGAAAUUAAUACAGAUUUUUAUAAAAGAAAAUAAUUUUUUUAUAUUAUAUUUUGAAAUAUGUAAAAAUAUUAUUUUUAUCUUUAUGCAUGGAUCAAAUAUGUGUUUUGUAUGAAAGUAUAUCUGAGAAUUUUAUUUGUUUAUGAAAAAUGAAAAAUUGAGGAGAUAUGAUGUUUUGUUUUGUGAGUUUGAAUUAAUGAAAUAAAGUUGAGAUUUUCAGCUUUAAUCAACCGAUUAUAAUAGUUGAUAUUAUAUGACCCUAGUCAACGGGUUAUAAUAGUUGAUUUUAUGACCCUAAUCAACGAGUUAUAAUAGUUGAUCUUAUGAUCCUAGUUAACGGGUUAUAAUUGUUAAUAUUUGGUUUUGUUCACAUUAAAUGGAACAAAUUUGAAAAUAAUUACUCAAUUAUGAAGUCUCACCUAAUUGGACACCAUUUGUCAUACGAUAACCAGAGUAAAAAUAUUUUGAAUGUAUUUGAUUUGGUUUUGAUGAAAAAUUGUUUGAUGAUAAAUUGUUUUGAAAUGGAUAUGAGAAAGUUUUGUUGAAAAGUUUGAAUGUAUUAGCAUUUUGAAUUCCAAAGUUUUUAUGAAAAUAAGUAUAUGUUAUAUCUCUUAUUUGCAAGUAUGAUUGAAAAUGUUUGAUCCAUGAAACUGUAUUAAUGUUCCUUAUUGGGCUUUGAGUUCAUCCCCCUUUGUUGAUAAUCUUUCAGGUAACCUCGAUUCAAGUGAGGAGUGACCGUUAGGAGAGAAAUUUGGUUUUAUUAGGAUAUUUGUUUAAAUUCUCUUUAUUAUGAACAUUGUUUAGAUGUUAAAACUUAAUUAUUGUUUGAAUUAUUUUGAGUUUGGAGUUAUUUAGACAAUAAUACUUUAGUUGAUGUAUUAGUUUUUUUAAAGUUGAUACUUGAAUAUUUUAGAAUUUUGCUCUACUACUCUGAAUAAGAAUUUGGUAAUCGGUAAAUUUUUAGUUACAAUACGAAUGUUUGUAUCGUUUCCACUUUGAGCUUCUGGGCUUGAGGUGUGAAAUAACCGUCAUGUCUUUAGAAUGAAUUUUGGGGUGUGACAUAUAAUGAUUAAAAUAGGAUGCUAAAAAUUACAAUACAAAUAUAAAGUUUUAAUUAAAUAAAUUAUUUCAUUAUUUAAAAUCCAAACUUAGAAUUUUUUAUUUUUUGAAGUGAAUACUCUUGUCAAUAAAUUGAAUGUAUUAUUUCAUAUUUUCUUAAUCAUUAAUCAUGAAUUUAAUUUUAGUUACUAGCUGUAUUAAAACCUUUUUCUUUCCUGCUUUAAACAAUUUAUAACAAAAAGUGCCAUAAACUUUUUUUCCUCGUAAAAAAUUUAUUUUAAUUUAUAUAAAAAAUAAUUUUUAUAAUAUUAAUAUACUCAUUAAAAGAAAUUUUAAUAAAAAUAUGUAAUAGUAGGAUUCCACCAUUUGUUGGAGAGCAUGAUAUUCAUUCAGUUAAAAUUUUAUAAAUUUAAAUAUAUAAAACAACAUUCUUUUAUGUCUGGUUGGAUGUAAUGGUAUAUUUAUUUGGAUUAAUUUUAUUCAUUCCUAAAAAAAAAUUAACUAAAUCAUCAUAAUUUAAAAUAUCAUGAAAUACCUCUUUUUCUAUCAUUUUUAUUUGCUAUUUUUACUCAUUUCUCCACUCAAACAAGAUGAGAAAGGUACCGGAUAAAAUUUUAAAUUUUUAACAAUUAAACUGUAUUUAGUUAAAUGGGAAGGUGAUUGAAAUCAAUCAAUCCUACUUCCUCCAUAGUUGUCAUUUGUGAUUUAUUUAUGGAGCCUGCCUAAAUGCCUAUUUCCGGUGGUUUCUUGUGGAGUUUAUGUGGCUAUGUGUCUCCGGGGUUAGAUUAUAAAAUAGGCUCCAUUUUGAGCAUGAAGCCAAGCGUACACUCUUGUCUUUAGCUGAUGGAAAUUUCUCAGCAGUCACACCUCCCCUGCCCAUUUUGUUUGGUUGGUAGGAAACUUCCCACUGCCUAAGAUUGUUUUCAGAUUUCUGUAUUCUUUCAAUAUAGAGGAAUAUUCCCCUAAAAUUCUAUAAUUAUGCAUUUCACGAGAUGGGAAUUGGCUGAAAGAAUUUGUCACAAUGAGGUUGUCCAAGGGCCAAGCCCAAACCAAAACCAUCUUAUUUCAAAAUACCCAGAUGAAUGAACUGCGAAAACCAUAAAACAUGACGCAAUAUGACCUAACUCACAAGCCAUUUUUCACUUCGCUAAAAUCCAAUACAAGAGUAAGGACUAAGGACGUCCAAACCAGUCGACACGCCACACACCACAUACUACGCUACGAUAGUAGAACCAUCGUUCCCUCCUAAGACGACAUUUGGACUAACAAUUGCAGUAUUUAAUAUAACAAGAGAGGUUAUAAAUAAGAUCGACUCCAUCCUUACAAUCAUGGAGUGCAUGCAAUUGCAGCCUUAUUCCCAAAUCAUGGAUCCUGUAAUUAUUAAAUGAUGAUGCAUUGAUGAAGAAUGGAAUAGCGAGCGUCACUCAAUGAUUGGUAUGAUCAAACUUACCAAACUAUGCGGACCGAACCACUACAAAAAUCCUUAAACCGGAACAAACCAAGAUUCACAGAAAAAGUUACCCUCGUUCCCUUUCUUCUUGGCUUGAACCUUGCUAUAUGCAUUCGCGGCUGCUUUGAAGGGUGUGUAGGCAGAUAUAAAAUUAGGCUGCUAGAUCUUGGCUUCUAACAUCUUCUCUUUGUAAUCUUUCAGAAACUGGUUCAGGAGCUCGUCCGCUCCCCCUUUAUUAUGGCCUUCAAUAUCACUCAAGACUGCUUGAGUCUAUUCGUCUGCAUUGUUCUGAAACAACACAAGAAGAAAACCAAGGCGAACAGGCCCUUCAUGGGAACAACCUUCCUAAUUCUUAAAUAAAAAACUCUAUAUAUCUACAAGAAGGUAAAUAUGGGAAAUACUUCAUAAGGUCGGUUCACCAAGGUUUCAAAAGAAGGCCAUGUUUGAAAAAGAAAAGAAAUGAUUGAAUAAUUCACACAGACAAAAGAAAGUAGCCAAAUAAACUCAAGAUGAAAUCACUAGUGGAUUUUCCAUCGUCAUUCUAGAACUUCAAGGUUCGUUAGAAAUUAGGCGGUGUUGACUCAAUCUAGGAAACUUUUGAGAGGAGUUGAACGAACUGGUGGUAAACACUUCCUAGUUUCAAGUUGAAUCACUCACUUUCAGCUCAACUCUGCUGAAUUACAGCUACUAAUGGGGUUUAACAGCUACUUCAAUUCUAUUGAGCCGAACUUCAAGCCAAACCAACCACUAAUAAGAUUGGUGAACUUCUAAUUUGGGCGGUGAAAGUAGUUUUACUUUAGUACCUUUAAAUUCCCUGUUGAGGAUGAAAUGUUAACGAUCCUUGGUGAAUCUGAUAAUUGGAGGAGAGGAAUAAAUGCUCCAAUGACUUUCUGUGCCCCAGAGUAAUUUACUUUUGACACAUGCUUCAGCCAAAUUGUAAUUCUGAUGCAUUAAUUUCUUCCAAUAGACUUCUAUGAAUUCCGCCUGCAUCAGUGAAAGAAAACUCAAUCUCUCUUGGUAUCCAUAACCCCACUCCUCUACUGCAAAAAGUUAAAAGGAAGAAAAGAAGAAGAUGACUGUCAGUCAAUCUCCAUUUUUAGGCCUCUUCCCCAUAAAGCAAACUAUCUGUACUUCUAAUAAUCACUUCAACAGUGAUCUUCAAGCAAAUUCCUAGAGGAACCCUUAUCAAACUUCCAAUCAAACCGCAUACUAUAGUACAAUGGAUUCCUAGAGGAACCCUUAUCAAACUUCCAAUCAAACCGCAUACUAUAGUACAAUGGCUAUUAGGAGGUUGCUAUACGUGGAAGCACCAUCUGAACUCGCUAAAUUUCAGAAAAGAAACUAGUAGGAUAAGAAAACUUACUUGAUAACAGCCUUUCCCGAUACUAAAGCAUCAGGGUCUGUUAUGAUCAUUCCCAUUAUCCCUGUAUUGUUUGUCUGUACAGAAUUUCCACGUUUCUCAUUAUCCCAUUGAAUAUGGGGGAAAGGUUAAAAAAACAUAUGGGUAAUUGGGAUUGCCACAUUUUCAUAAAAUUAAGAAUCAUGCUACACAAAAGAAUGCUAUAAUAUGAAAUAAUGGAGGUUUCAAUCAUACCAAGAUAUCAAGCCCCCCAAACUGGGUUUUGAUAAAGUCUGCAAGGGAAUCAACACUAGCAGGAUCCGUAACAUCAAGCUGAUGAUAAAUCACAUGAGAGAGAUCAGACUCUUUGAGAUUUUCAAGAGCCUCAACACCCCUCUUCUCAUCUCUAGCUGUUAAGACCACUGUCACCCCAUUAGCACACAACAAUGAACUGCCUACAUAUUUCCAACCCGUUUCCUCUAUAUACUCUGUAACAACUGCAAGCCUGAAACGGGAAAUAAUGAGAAAAUAAUGAGAAUGAGUGUUACAAAUGUGGCUGCAUAUUGUAAAUAGACCAUGGAAGAAAAACCAAGUACCUUUUUGUUGCUUCAGCCAUUGUUUAUGAGAUGGGAAUUGUUUGUGAAGAGGGAAAUAAGAUGUUCUUCAGCUUUAUUGUGAGGAUGGUUAUGAUGUUUUUUUUUUUUCUUUUUUUUUCUUUUUUUUUUUUGGCCAAACUUUGAAGUUCUAUAGGAAAAUGAGGGUAUGCUAUCAUGAUGACAACCCCAUGAAAAUAUUUUAGCAUUUAAUGCAUGGGCAAAGUAGAUGAGAAUUCUGUUGAGAAGAGAGCAAGAUCCUGUAUGGUUUUUAUUUCAUAGGCUAUGAAACUUUUGAUAGUUCUUAAAUUGUAUUGAUUUAUCAAGGAGCACUGACCUAUUUCAUUUUCCGAAUAAACAUUGUUUACAUCACCCACAAAAUUUGGCAUGGAUUUUUCCCCAUCGUCUUCCAUAUUUUCUCAAAGUACUUCAUAUUUCAAAUUUGUCCAAGAGCCCAGCCAAAACCCCAUUUGUAUUGAGAAACCAAAGCUCUAAUUACAUAAACCCAAACGCCCAAAUUAGCCAAACCAGUAAAACUGCUCAUGUAACACAUUUGAGUAUCUAACAAAGAUUUCCACCCAACUCAUAAAGUGGAUAAUCGAAUUAUAAUUAGUGGAUAAACAGGUAAGCUCAGAAUAUUCACAAGCUACUCAUAUUGCUUACUAGCCAUAAACAUCACUCUGGGCUCCCAAGAGCCAAAUGAGCGUACUACAAAAACCAUAAAAUAUGAAAGAGCAUAUAUAAGGUCACAAGCUUUAAGUACUUCAAAAUCAUUCCAAAAUAAAAAUUAGUCAAGCAUUUCUGGGUAUUCUUAUUAGCUUGAGAUUCAUGCAAAUCAUAUGAAAAGCAAAAAACAGUCUCUUAUUAGCAUGUAAGAAGCCAUAAACAGAGUCUCUUAUUAGCUACAAUGUUCUUGUUUCACAUGUCGCAAUAAAUCAUUUUCAGUCAAUAUUCAGACACUUCCUUUUCAAGAAAGAAUUGACCGGAAGGCCCGCCAUCAGGCAGCAUAGCCAAUCUCACAGUGCUUUCAGCACCUUCUUCAACAGUUAACAAGCCAGCAUUGUAGUUCAUAUCUGUUUUAACAUAGUCAGGGGAGACACAGUUGAUGUAGAAAUUACCCAAGGCUGCUUUAGAGGCUGUAUAGGCAGAGGGAUAAGUAGACCAGCUAUUAGCUGUCAAAACACUUAAAAAACCAAGAACCUUUUGGAAAAAAUGACACUGAUCAUCUUCUCCCUUUUUUCAUUAUUUUAUAAGUGCCAUCUAUACAUAGAAGUAUAUGUUAUACAUGGAGUAUAACUGAUUUCUAAUAUUCAGCAUUUAUACAUGGUAAGUCAAUCUGUACAGCUAAUAUUAAUAGUCCUAAAUUAUAUAAAUUCCUAAAAUUGUAUGUGGUAACAUCCUUUCUCAAAUUGAUGCUGGUAAGUCAACCAGCAACAAUUUGCCAAUAAGAAAUUGAUGCCGCUAUCGAGUCAAAGCUUUGGUGAAGACAUCAGCCACUUGGAGAUCAGAAGAGAUGUGAGAAAGAGAUAUCACCCGACUUUCCAAGGUGUCUCGAAUAGAAUGACAAUCAACGUCAAUGUGCUUGGUGCAUUCAUGGAAAACGGGAUUGGUGGCAAUCUGAAUAGCACUAGUGUUAUCAGCAUGAAGAGGGGCACAAGUAGUAUGAGGAAACCCAAGCUCCUCAAGAAGACCGCGUAGCCAUACAAUUUCAGAACAAGCAGUAGACAUGACAUGAUACUCGGCCUUAGUGGAGGAUUUAGAAACACGAUCUUGUUUCUUACAUUUCCAAGAAAUUAAGGCAUCACCUAAAAACAUACACCAACCCGUAGUAGAUCGAUGUGUAUCUGGAUACCCAGCCCAAUCAACGUCACUAUAGGCAACAAGUUGAAGAGAGAAGUCGGUAGGAAAGAAUAACCCACGAGUAGGUGAACCUCGAAGAUAGCGGAUGAUGCGUCGAACUGCAACAAGAUGGAGAUGCCGAGGAGAAGACAUAAACUGACUGACCUGAUGAACAACAUAGGAGAUAUCAAGUCGAGUAGUGGUCAAGUAGAUAAGACUCCCAACCAGGCGCCGAUAGAGAGUAGGAUCAUCCAGAAGGUCCCCUUCAUCUUUCUUGUAUUUGACAUUUACCUCCAUAGGAGUAUCAACAGAGGAAGUGUCCUCCAAACCAGCCAAAGUGAUAAGAUCUUGAGUAUACUUAUGCUAGUUCACGAAAAUACCACUGGCCUGAUGAUGAACUUCCAAUCUUAAGAAGUAUGUGAGCUGGACAAGAUCUUUCAUAUGGAAAGUUGCAUGUAAUAAUCGUUGAAGCUUAGUAAUCAAACCACAGUCACUGCCAGUAAUGAUAAUAUCAUCUACAUAAACCAAGAGAAGGACUAUACCCGACGCAGACAUGUGGAAGAAGAGGGAAGAAUCAUACUGACUUUGGGUAAAACUGAAGGAAAGAAUUGUACUACGAAACUUCUCAAACCAAGCCCGAGGCGCCUGCUUGAGCCCAUUCAAAGAACGUUUUAGCUUACAAACAUCAUGAGGAGAAGAAUUAGUCAUACCAGAGGGAAGCUUCAUGUAAAUCUCUUCCUAGAGAUCACCACGAAGAAAAAUAUUCUUCACAUCCAUCUAAUGUAGUUGCCAUGAUUGUGAAGUGGCAAUAGUUAAGAUGGUUCGAAUUGUGGUCAUUUUGGCAACAUGAACAAAUGUCUCCUCAUAAUCAACCUCAUAUUCCUGUUUGUUACCCAAAGCUACAAGGUGAGCUUUGUACCAGUCCAAAGAGCCAUCAGAACGAAGUUUUACAGAGAAAACCCAUUUACUCCCAAUAGGUUUGACUGUAGGAGGACAAAGAACAAUAUCCCAAGUAUGAUUCUCCUCAAGUGCUUGAAGUUCUGCUUGCAUUGCAUUUUGCCAACACUUAUGUUCCAUGGCCUGUUUGUAGCAAGAGGGAAUAGAAAUAGUGGAUAAAGUAGCAAUAAGAAAGACGGGAGAGAAUAAUCCAUACCAAUCAGGGGGUCUAGAAAGACGAGUAGACCGACGAAGAGUGGUGGAAGCAGGAGCAGGAUCAGGCGCCGGGUCAAGAUCGGAAGGAGGCACAGAGGAAGUGGAACUGAACUCAUGUCGACUAUGUUUUUCAUACACAAAACCUGGUUUGAACCUUUCCACAAUUGUUGGGGAUUCAGAAAAACUAGGCAAAAAAGAUACAGAUGCAGAUGGCAACUCAACUUGAGAUGAAAAGAAAUAUUGAUUUUCAAAGAAAAUUACAUUUCGGGAAACUCGUAUACGACGAGCAUGGGGAUCAUAACAAACAUAACCCUUGUGAGGGAUAGCAUAACCAAGAAAAGCACACUUAACAGAUUGAGCAGUAAGUUUAUGUCGUUCAUGAAUAGGUAGAUGCACAAAACAAACACAACCAAAUGUACGAAGAUCAGAAUAUAAAGGAGAAUGACCAAACAACUUAGAGAAAGGAGAAACAUGAUUUAACAUAGGAGAGGGUAAGCGAUUGAUCAAAUGAACUGCAAUAGAAAGUGCUUCACACCAAAUACGAGGAAGAACUGAUGAGUCAAGUAAAAGAGUUCUUACCACAUCAAGAAGGUGGUGAUUUUUCUUCUCAGCAACACCAUUUUGUUGUGGUGUCGAAGGACAAGAACGCUGAGAGAUGAUUCCUUUGCUUUGAAGAAAGUCCUGAAACUCAUUAGACAUGUAUUCUCCGCCAGAAUCAGAGCGCAAGACCUUGAUGCUAGCAGAGAAUUGAGUCUCAAUAAGUGCAAGAAAACACUUAAAGACUGAAAAAACUUCAGCCUUAGUCCGGAGGAAAUAAACCCAAGUAAAGCGACUAAAGUCAUCAAUGAAAGUAACAAAGUACUUGUAAUGUGCAUGAGAAACAAUAGGUGCAAUCCCCCAAACAUCACUAUGUAUAAUAUCAAAACAUUGUGAGGCACGAGAUGCGGAAUGAGGAAAAUGUAGAACUUUACUUUUGCCAAGUUUGCAUGAUGUACAAUCGAAAGAAAGAUCAAGAGAAGAACAUGCUUUAUUUCCCAAUAAUCCAGAAUUAAACAAAGUACGAAGUACAUCAGAGUUUGGGUGGCCAAGACGUCUAUGCCACAUCUUAUGUCCAGAACCAACAACAUUACAUGCAAAGGAAAGUAAAAGAAAACUAGGAAUAAUAGUGGAAGAAGAAACAUGAAGAGGAAAGAGUCGUCCCACUUUAGGCCCCUUCGUGAUCAUCUUCCCGGACACUUGAUCUUGCACAACACAACCAGAACGGGAGAAAUUGACAUUACAAUUAUUAUCAACCAAUUGACCAACAGAAAGAAGAUUUGUGGAGAGGUCAGGAGACACAAAAACAUCAGUUAAGGAAGAGGAAAGAUCACCAACAACACUGAUAGGCAGAGAAUUGCCAUCAGCAGUGUUAAUUUUCAAUUUUCCAUCAUAAUUUCUGACAUUGGAAAGAGAAAGAACAUUAUUUGUCAUAUAGUUAGAAGCUACAAAGUCAAAAUACCAUGGCUUAGAAGAAAUUGUAUGAUUACCUGAGAGCCUAAAAGCAGAAAAAGCAGAAAAAUCAGAAAUGAUCAUUUGUUGUACCAUUUCAGGAGUGAGUGUGUUCGGGUUUGCUAAGGCUGUAAGAGCAGGAAUAGGAACAACCGAAGAGGCAGCAGGCAAUGCAGUAGAACUAGAGGCACUAGUGGAGGCAUGAUAAGCAGUACCCUGCUUCCUUUCAGGCCAAAUGAGACAAGCAGAGAUGAUAUGACCUUGUUUCUUGCAGUAGUUACAAAACUUCUUGGGACAAUCCCGAGCAAUGUGACCAAAAUCUUUACAACUAAAGCAUUGGACAACACGCAUAUCUCGACCCUUAUUCCGCCCUUGUGCUUCAUAAGCUAUAUAAACAGGUGCACUAACAUUAGCCCGAUGUUCCAUGGUAGCUUGAGUUAUGAUACGUUGCUCUUCACGCAAAAGUUCACUCAAGUAGGCAUCCAAAGAUGGUACAGGAUGACGAUUCAUCAUAUUAGACCGUGCAAUUUCAAAGUCGGGUCGUAACUUCAUCAAGAAUUGAUCUCGCUUGCUGAUUGCAUGCAUUGCUUGGACAACAGAGAGAGCUGCAGUGGGAACAUUAGCAUAAACAAUGUCGGAAUAAUCAGUCUAAAGAGUUUGAAAAACAGAAAAAUAUUCCUCAAUUAAGAGACUUCCUUGUGUGAAAUUAGCCAUCUCAUACUCCAAUUGAAAACACCUAGCAGAGUUGUCUUGAUUGUAAACCGUGUGGAGACAAUUCCACAUAGCAGCAACAGUUUUAUAAGGCCUCAGAUUGAGAACAAGGUGAGGUUCAACCGAGCUAAGGAUCUAGGUCAUAACCCGAGCAUCCUUAAUUUCCCACUUAGACAAAGCCUCGACAUCAUGAGGUGCAGGAUUACUCCCAUCAAUAUGACCCCAUAAUUCUUUUCCUUUGACAAAUAAUUUAAAUUGAAAUUCCCAAGCACAAUAAUUUUUGCCAGUAAAUCUAAUAGGAAAUGAUUCCAACUUAUCUGAUGACAUGAUGCAACCGAGAGACAAAGGAAAUAGCCCACUAGAAAAUUAGAACAAAAACUAUCGAGAUACACCCUGGAUUUAGAAACCUGCAACAGAAAGUUCUGAAAUCAACCAGAAAUCAACAGUAGGGGCGCCGAAAACAAGAAUCCAGACCAGAAAGACCAAAAAAUAAAAACCACAGACGGUGUCGGUACCCUCAAACGUAGCUACUUAAGGGAUCGAAACCCAGAAAAACACCCAAGAGAAACACUCAGAAAAAUUCGUGAAAGACAGAUAAUCUAUGAACCCGCUCUGAUACCAUGUCAAAACACUCAUAAAACUCAAGAGAAACCGAGAACCUUUUGGAAAAAAUGACAUUGAUCAUCUUCUCUCUUUUUUCAUUAUUUUAUAAGUGCCAUCUAUACAUAGAAGUAUAUGCUAUACAUGGAGUAUAACUGAUUUCUAAUAUUCAGCAUUUAUACAUGGUAAGUCAAUCUGUAUAGCGAAUAUUAAUAGUCCUAAAUUAUAUAAAUUCCUAAAAUUGUAUAUGGUAACAUUAGCUCCUUUGAAAUCUUUUAGAAACUCGUUCAAGACCUCAUCCACUCUCUCUUCUAUACGGUUUUCAGCACCACUAAACACUUCUUUAGCCCAUUCAUUUGGGAUAUGCUGGGACAACAUAGCAAGAAAAAUAAGGCAAACUGAUGUAUUUCGCAAACACAUUUCUCAAUUCAGAAACAAAACUUCAAUUCUAAUGAAAGUGAGUAUGUACGGUGUACCUUCACUAAUGUCUCAAGACAAGGACUAUUGGAAAUAAAAGAAAGAACAAUUGAAUAAUUCACAUAAACAAAAGGAAACAGCUAUUAAUAAUUCACAAGAGAUCGUCUUCUGGAAUACAGGGAAGCUAUGUGCAUUAUAUUCAUACAAUAGUAUGCAUUACCUCAAUAUUAUUUAGUAUCUUCAUCUGACAGUAUCAAUCAACCCUUUUCUUGAUAUGGUUUUCUUCCAAGCAACCAAGAUGUGACAAGGAGUAGAUUUUUUGUUGUUUUUCUAAACUACAGUAAGUUCACUAAAAAAAUUGGUUCUGUUGAGUCAAACAAGGCAACUUGAUACUACCAGUUUCAAAUUUAAUUAUGUGCUUACAAUUCAACUUUGUCCAAUAUCAGGACAAAUCAUCCAGUUCCGAACUUGGUUGAGCAUCUAAAGUGGGUGCCAACAUUUCACUUCCGAACAAGGGUUGAUGCUAUUUUUGUACCUGCAACUUUCCCACUGUGGAGGAAACAUUAACGAUCCUUGGUGAAUCUGAUAACUGGAGAAGAGGAAUAAGUGCUUCAAUCAUCCUCUUGGGCCCAUAAUAGUUUAUUUUCAGACAUUCUUCUGCCAGCUAAAAAGACACAAUCAUUAUUUCCCUCCAAUUAACUUUUCCUCCUCCUGCUUGCAUCAUAGAAGAAAAAAAAAAACUCAAUCCUGUUGGUAACCAUUACACCCCCUACUCCACAAACAAAAAAGGAGAAGAAGAAAACAGUGGUUUUUAGCUUUCUCUUCAAAAAAAUGUAGAAGGAAAAUCAACAGCAUGGACAUUAAAAGUCCAAAGAUUGCUCUUUUUCAGCUUUCAUAAAGGCUCUUCCUCAAAUAUAACAUAUGCAACCAAAGGAAUUUUACAUGAAGAAUUUACCUGAGCAGCAGCUAUAACCGAUCUUAAACCAUCCGGAUCUGUUACAACUGCUCCCGUUAUCCCUGCAUUGUUCACCUGUCCAGAAUUCCACAUUUCUUAUUAUCCAAUUUUUAACUAUAAAAUGAAAAAAUAGUGACAAACAAAAGUUAUUUUAUUGCUUCCAGCUAUCUGCAGGUCCUCCAUUGCUCCAUAAUAAACCACAAAAUUUACAUAAAAAUUUUCAAGAAUCACAGGUGGAUAAGAAGAGAACGUUAUAAUUGCUAUAAACAGCAUGUAGUGCAUAAAUAUUGCUAAUGUGUGUGCAUGUCGCUUUAAAUUUUUAAGAUAUUGAAAAAGUUCAUUAACAAAGCCAUCUUGCCAAAGUUCAUGCAACUCUAUGCAUAUUGAUGGAUGCAAAAGAAAGAAAAUGAUGGGACUGAGGAGAGCAAACAGGGCAUUGGUUUAAUAAUAGUAUAGGCAUAACAUAAUAGUAUAGAGUCGGGACAUUAACGAAAGUGGAAAUUGGGCAAUGUCCUAAUUAAUAGGACGGAAUUAAGUAAUAGUACAGUGCGGGCCAAAGAGGGAUGCUAAGGAGUGAGGAUAGUGCAUUGGCUUAAUUGAUCUUAUAGCACAGACUAAACUGUUUCCAGACCAGUUACAACAUAUACAAAACAAGAUUCUACCCAGACAGAUAACUAUUUGCUUCUAAAACAAAAAAUACACCAUCAAUUUGGUAAAGGUUAUGUUCCAAUCUCCAUAUCCUGAAGAAUAGGAGCAAUCUCAACUCUGGAGUACCUCGAUGGCCAGCUAAAAAUUUUCUUGGGUGCCUUUUUGUGGCUAGGAUAAGCAUAACUGAUAUAGGAAAGAAUUCAAAAACAAAUGCUUCUCUAUCAUAUCUGAUACUAAUUUGAUGUUGUAAAAGAAUUUUCCAUCAAGUAAACCAAUGCCCUUCUUUCUUCAUAUACAAAUGCAUAGAACAACAAAAAUUUCUUCAUUUUGGUAGUUGCAUCAUAUCAAGUAGACUAUUACAGUACAUAAAGCAUGCCUACUGCUGCAACAUCAAGCAUUUCAAACUCUUAACAAUGUAUCACUUUCUUUUUGAAGUUCUAAUCCAGAGGCAAAUGAAAUUGGCCAUCUUCACAAAUCAUCAAUAUCAUCCAUAACUUCAAACAAAUAUAUAUUGUAUGUGUUAGAGCUUGGUGACCCGAUUUCCUUUUUUGAUCCAACCCGAAAUCAUCGCGGUGCGAUAUAUAUAGUGAAGAAAAAAUUAUGGAUUUCUUUCUUGCUUUAUUUAUUUUUUCUCUCUCAUAUAUAUUUAUAUGGGAUUUCAAGGAUUUAUAUCAUAGUCGCUUGAUACUCUCUCAUUUUGUACCAAUUUUUUGAUAUAGUGGAUUAUUCUUCUCCUCUGCCCGUGUUUUUCUCGUUUAGGGUUUUCCACGUAAAUUUGUAUGUGUUCUUAUUUUUUCUUGUUUCCUAUUCUUGUUUUUCCAUAACGAACUAGUAUUAGAGCAAGGUUUGAUUAGUGAGAGGUUUGAUCUUCUCAACAAUGGCAACAAUGAAAUACGAUAUUCUGCUUUUGGAUUGCAACACCCAAAUUUUUGCUAUGGUAGGUUAAGAUGUGGGUUGUGCUCGUGCAGAUGGAUUUGGAUGAUGCACUGUUAGGAUUUGAUAAGAUGCCCUCGUUGUGGACACAGGAGAAAAAACAACGUGAGGAUAAAAAAACUCUAUCUCAAAUUCAUCUUCAUCUAUCAAAUUAAAUUCUAUAGGACUUUCUAAAAGAGAAAACUGUCACUGCAUUAUGGUUAAAGUUGGAGCAAUUGUGCAUAACGAAAAGUCUAACUAACAAGUUGCAUCUGAAGCAACAAUUGUAUACUCACCAUAUGAUAGAAGGUAUGUCUUUAGAAGAUCACUUAACUGUCUUUAAGGAAAUUGGUUCUGAUUUAGAGACCAUGGAGGUUAAGUAUGAUGAAGAAGAUUUAGGGUUGAUUUUAUUAUGUUUGUUUUCCUCUUCAUAUGCGACUUUUAGAGACACCAUUUUGUAUAGUCGUGACACCCUUACCUUGGAAGAAGUUUUUGAUGCUUUAUUUUCUAAGAAGAAAAUGAAGUAGUUUGUGGUUGGAUUUGAGUCUCAAGUAGAAGGCCUUGUUAUUCGAGGGAGGACACAUGAAAGAAAUUCUGGUGGUGAUGCGAGGGGCAGAUUGAAAUCCAGUAAUAAAGACAAAACCUGCAGGCACUAUAAGAAAAAAUGGCACAUCAAAUGUGAAUGCUAUAAGUUGCAGAAUAAGAAUAAGACAAUUGCUGCAAAUCAAAAGGGAAAACAACUAGAAAAAUCCGAUGAAGCCAGUGUUGUAGAAUAUGAGUAUAGUGAUGGAGAACUCCUUGUUGUUUUUUAUGGCAACUCCAAACCUUACGAGGAUUGGAUUCUUGAUUCAGGUUGCACGUUUCAUAUGUGUCCUAAUCGAAACUAGUUUUCAACAUAUGAAACAGUGUCCAAAGGUGCUAUGUUGAUGGGAAAUAAUGCAUCUUAUAAGAUAGUUGGUAUUGGAACAGUCAAAAUCAAAAUGUUUGAUGGGAUUGUCACAACACUUAACGAUGUGAGACACGUUCUAGAUCUAAAGAGGAACCUUAUCUCGUUGAGUACUCUUGAUUCAAAAGGGUAUAAGUAAAUUGGUGAAGGUGAAGUCCUAAAGGUUAGCAAAUGUGUUCUUGUUGUGAUGAAAUGGCAGAAAAGGUCUACCAAAUUAUAUGUCUUGUAGGAAUCCACAGUUACAGGUGAUGCAGCUGUUGCUACUUCUUUCUUAUUAGAUGGUGAUGUUACUAGACUUUGGCAUAUGCGUCUUAGGCAUAUGAGUGAGAAUGGGAUGAUUGAAUUGAGCAAAAGAAGACUUCUUAAUGGUUAGAGUAUUAGUAAACUGAAGUUUUGUGAGCAGUGCAUUUUUAGAAAGCAGAGGAGAGUCAAAUUCAUAAAAUAUAUUCACGACACAAAGGGGACACUUGAUUAUAUACAUUCUAAUAUAUAUGGGGACCAUCUAGGGGCCUUUUAAGGGAUGUGCUAGUUAUAUGUUGACUAUCAUUGAUGAUUUUUCCAGAAAAGUUUGGGUAUUCUUUUUAAAGCAAAAGAGUGAAGUGUUAGCUACAUUCAAGGAGUGGAAUAUUAUGAUUGAAAAGUAGAUAGGAAAGCAGGUAAAAUGUUUCCACACUGAUAAUGGCUUGGAGUUUUGUUAUGAUGAGCUUAAUGUUCUAUGUAAGUUAGAAGGAAUUGUGAGACAUCAUACAGUUCGUCAUACUCCAUAACAAAAUGGUGUGGUAGAACGAAUGAAUAGGAAUUUGAUAGAGAAAGUAUGUUGUAUGCUUUCCAAUGUUGGUUUGCCUAAGUCUUUUUGGGUUGAAGCUGCCUCUACAACUUGUUUUCUCAUUAAUCGCUCUCCUUCAACUGCUAUUGAAUAAAGGACUCCACGAGAGGUAUGGUCUGGUACUCCUGCUAGUUACUUUGAUUUGAAGAUAUUUGGAUGUCCUGCCUAUGCUCAUGUUGAUAAUGGAAAACUAGAAGCUAGAUCUAUAAAGUGUGUUUUCAUUAGCUAUAAGUCUGGUGUUAAAGGAUAUAAGUUAUGGUGUCCAAAAACCAAUAAAGUCAUAGUCAGUAGAGAUGUUAUUUUUGAUGAAAUUGCUAUGCUUCAUGACUCAUCUUCUAGAGAUUCUUGUGAUAAAGAGCAACAAAAAUCAAUCACAUAGGUGGAGUUUGAGAUUAAGUCAAGAUCCUUACUAGAGUCUACAUCUUAAUCUAGUUCAAAGAUGAAGAGUGAUGUUGCUACUCCCUCACCACCACCAACACCACCAUAGUAUUCUAUUGCUAAAGACAAGCCUAUAAGAGAUAUUAAACCUCCAUAGAGGUAUGCUGAGGUUGCUUUAUUUGCUUAUGCCUUAAAUGUGGUCGAAUGUAUUAAUUGCAGUGUAGAACCUUCUACCUACACAAAGGCAGUUAAUUGUGAUGAUUCUGGAAAAUGGAUGAUUGCCAUGCAGGAGGAGAUGGAGUCACUUCAUAAGAAUGACACAUGGAACUUAGUGAGACUACCUAAAGGUAAAAAGGUUGUUCGCUUCAAAUGGGUGUUCAAGAGGAAAGAAGGAAUACCAGGAGUUGAAGAAGCCAUGUAUAAGGCAAGAUUUGUUGCAAAGGGCUACAGUUAGAUUCCAAGUAUAGAUUUCACUUAUGUGUUUUCUCCAAUUGUAAAGCAUAGUUCGAUUCGAGCUUUGCUUGGUAUUGUGACCAUGCAUGAUUUUGAGCUUGAGAAAUUGGAUGUGAAUACAACAUUCUUACAUGGAGAACUUGAAGAGGACAUCUACAUGUAGCAACCUAAGAGUUUUAUAAUUUCAGGAAAGGAUGACUAGUCUGCCAAGCUUAAGAAUAAGUUCAAAGUAAGCAAGGUUGUCAGCAGGUAAGGAAAAGAAAAGGUGGGCUUAGAACCAGUAUACCCUAUAUUGUAUUCAGUAGUUAGUCUGCCAACCCUUGAAUUCUCUUGUGAUAGGAGUCUUAAGUAAAAAGUAUAUCUCUGCCCUUACAGCCAGUAGUCAGUCUACUCUUGAAUCCUCGGUGCUAGAGAUUGUAAGCGUGAUAAAGUCGAAGGAAGAAACAAACCCUUUACCAGCUAACCUUCUAAGGCUAGAUUUCAAAAACUUCUAUCAACUGGACCAAAGAAGGGAAUGACUGCUUUGAACAUGACUGUCUGAAAGGGUAGCAGCAAAGCGCAAUCUUUUUGCACUGAUAAUGCCGUUAUGCUUAGGCUUCGGUAAUCUCUUUUAAUCACCUGACAUCAAAGCUAAGGAAAGAUUUCACUAAAUUCAUUUUGUUUUGCUCUAACAAUUCAAACAAGGUUUUGUACCGAUCUAGUAACAAUGAUAUAUUCUCAGAAUUCUCCAUUGAUAAUUGAUAUGACAUGCUGUUUUUUCCAUUCAUUUCCUUUCAGGGAUCAGUCGCGGUCUUACAAACUAUACCAAUGGUAUGGAUGAAUCCGUUCAUUCAUCCAAAUGUGUAAAAGAUUCUAGCCGCACUUAAAAGCCGAGUACUCUACCAUUGAGUUAGCAACCCGAAUAAGAUAAAAUUCAAUUAAAAUAAUUAGAUGAUGACGUUCAUUAUAUGUCACGAAUUCCAUAUUCUAGUGCAAUGGGGUCUCUCAUGUAUGCUAUGGUUUGUUCAUGUCUAGAUUUAUCAUAUGUAGUCAGUGCAGUCAAUAUAUACAUGGCAAAUCCUGGUAAAGAACAUUGGAAAACAGUUCAAUGGAUUUUCAGAUACUUGCGUGAUUCUAUUGAUGUUUGUUUGCAUUUUGGGAAAACUAGAGAUGGAGUUGUUAGAUAUGUCGAUUUUGAUUUUGCUGGUGACCUUGAUAAAAGAAGAUCUCUUACAGGGUAUGUUUUUACUGUUGGUGGUUGUGCUAUCAAUUGGAAAGCUACUUUGCAGACAACGAUUGCUUUGUCUACUACAGAGGCCGAGUACAUGACUAUUACAGAGGCUUGUAAGGAAGUGAUUUAGUUAGAAAGACCAUUUUGGUGAAUUUAGUGACCACUUGUAGAUUAUCACAAUUUUUUGUGAUAGUCAAAGUGCUAUUUUUCUCACAAAAGAUCAAACGUUUCAUGAGAGGACAAAGCACAUUAACGUGCGGUAUCAUUUUGUGUGUGAUAUCAUUGCUCGUGGUGAUAGGCCAAAGUUAGCACCCAUGAUAAUCCUACUGAUAUGAUGACGAAGAUACUCCUUGUAGCCAAGUUUGAGCAUUACUUGGACUUGGUUAGCAUUCAUUGUUGAAUUACCCUUUGGGGUUUGUGGAAGAGGUGAAGAGUUUUUUUUUUUUUUUUUUAAGAUUGGAGUUUGUUUUUUUCAUUCUUUACAUUGGAAUUCGUGUCAAGGUGGAGAUUGUUAGAGUUUGGUGACCCAAUUUCCUUUUUUGGUCCAACCCUAUUGUUUUUUUCAAGUAAAAAAGAGAAAAAAAGGAAGAAGUAUUUAUUCAACAAUUUUUUAUAUAUAUAUAAAUAUUCCUUUUAUUACCCAUGGAAUUUGGCAUGAAUUGCUUUCUAUUCAAAAUUUUCUAAAAUUAUCCUAAAUAUUCUUGCAAAUAGUCUUAUGUUCUUUAGAAUAAAAAAAAUAUUUUUCUAAUUAAAAAAUCAUUUAAAAUUUUUUUGACAAAAAACAAUAUUUUGAGAAUUUAUUAAAAAGAUGUAUUUUUAGAAUAAAUUUAAGGUGUUUUAAGUUGUUUUAAGCCAAAUUUGAAAAUAUGAAGAAUACUUUUAAAAAAAAUUGUACUAUUUCUAAGUAUAGUGUACCUCAAUGAAAAAUAAACCCAUAAAAAUAUUCUUCAUAGUUGAUUUCUUAAACUAGAUUGUAUUCGUGAAAAUGAUUAACAAGAGAGCCUUCAACUACAAAUUUGUGAAGUAGACAAGCCAAACCCCAUUCUGUGAGAAGCCAAAGCUCUAAUUACGUGAACUCAAUUGCGCAAAUCGAGGCAAACCAGUAGAGGUGCGCAUGUAAAAGUUCAAACAUGCAGCAGAGAACACCUCACAACUCAAUAACAGACCUAUAAUUAGCUGAUAAGCAAGUAAGCCCAACCUAUUCACAAGCUAUCCAUUUUGCUUGCCAGCCAAAACCAUGAAUUUGGGCUCUCAAGAACCAAAUGAAUGAACUCCAAAAACCAUCAAAUAUCACACAAAAAAUAUAAGGUCAGAGGCUAUUGCGUCCUUCAGACUCAUUCCAACAUAAAAAUUAGUCAUAAGCAUUUCUGGGUAGUCUUAAUAAUCUGAGAUUCAUGCAAACCACAUAAUAAAAAGCAGAGAACAGACUUUAUUGUUGUGAUGUUCUUGCUUCAUAUCUAGUAGUGAAUCAUUUUCAGUCAAAAUUCAAACAACUCCUUUCGAACAAAGAAUUGACCAGAAGGCCCACCAUCAGGCAGCAGAGCCAAGCUCACGGGGCUUUCAGCACCUUCUUCAACAGUUAAGAUGCCAUUGUUGUAGUUCAUGUCAGUUUUGACAAAGCCAGGGCAGACACAGUUGAUGCAGAAAGUGGGGUACUUCCUGGCCAGAAUCCUUGUGCAGGCAUUCAAGGCUGCUUUGGAGACAAUAUAGGCAGAGAGAUAAGAGGGCCAGCUAUGAGCUUCUAAUAAUCCCUCUUUGAAAUCUUUUAGAAACUCUUUCAAAACCUCAUCCACCCUCUCCUCUGUAAGGUUUUGGGCAUCAUUUAAUACUCCCUUAGCCCAUUCAUUUAUAACAUUCUGCAACAACACAUCAAGAAAGGUAUUUCUCAAUUUGGAAACAGAAACUCCAGUUCUAAAGAAAGUAACUAUGGGAAAUGUUUCAUAAACUCUCUUCUCUAAUAUCUCAAAAAAUCCAUAGCUAACUUAACCUCUGGAGAGGGGUCGACCAAACUAGCCUCCCCACUCUUACCAGUUCCCAUCUAUUUGCAGUGAACAUGUGACCGUGUGAAGCCUGCGACUUGUCACCAAAGAAGAAGGCACAUUUAAUCAUCCACAAGAGAUGAUAUGUGCUUGUGAUUCAACUUUGUUGAAUUUCAAGUCAAAUUGCCCAGUGAAAAACUUGGUUGAACAUUUAAAGUGGGUGCCAACAAUCUAUUUCUGAAUGAGGGUUAAUGUUAUCUUUGUACCUUUAACUUCCCUGCAGAAGAGGAAACAUUAACGAUCCUUGGCGAAUCUGAUAGCUGGAGAAGGGGAGUAAGUGCUUCAAUGAUCCUCUUUGGCCCAUAAUAGUUUACUUUCAGGCAUUCUUCCGCCUGCUCGAAAGGCUCAAUCAUUAUUUCUUUCCAGUUGAUUUUUCCCAGUCCUGCCUGCAUUAUAGAAUAACAAAAAAACUCAAUCCCUUUGGUAGCCAUUACACUUCCUACUCCACCAACAAGAAAAGGAGAAGAGGAAAACCGUCUAUAAUUCCAGAGAUUUUCUUUUCAAGAAAAAGUAGAAGGAAAAUUCAACAUAAUGGGCAUUAAAAAUCUAAAUAUUGCUCUUUUUUCAACUUUUUAUAGGCUUUUCCCCAAAUAAAACAUAUGCACCCAAAGAAAGAACCUUUAUGUUGGGUGUUCUAUUCUGUAUACUUCUCCCAAUAAUCAUUUCAUGAAUGAUGUUUAAGCCUUCCCACCCCCAAGCAAAUUGCAUAUUUCUUUUUUGAAGUUCCAUCCACACUCACUACAUUUCAGGAAAGAAGGAAAUUGUACAUGGGAACUCACCUGAUCAGCAGCUACUGCUGAUCUGAAACCAUUAGGAUCUGUUACAAUUGUCCCAGCUAUCCCUGCAUUGUUCACCUGUCCAUCACUCAAACAUUUUUUGUUAUCAAAUUUUUAACAAUGUGUCAGUUUCCUUUUGAAGUUCUAAUCAAAGAGACAAAAGAAAAUGGCUACCUUCUCAAAAUAUCAAAAUCACCACAGACAUCCUAUCAAAAAGGCGACAACAUGAAAGCAAAAAUUGUGCUAUUGUGUAUGCUACACAAACCAUCAAUUCAGUGACUGUACAAGAACCCGGAAAAAAAGAAGGAAAAGUAAUCAAGAAAUGGGGGUUUCAACGAUACCAAGAUAUCAAGCUUCCCAAACUGGGUUUUGAUGGAGUCUGCAAGGGAAGCAAUGCUAGCAGGGUCCCCAACAUCAAGUUGAUGAAAACCCACAUUAGAGAGACCAGACCCCUUGAGAUUUUCAAGAGCUUCAACACCCAUCUUCUCAUUUCUAGCUGUUAACACCACUAUCACCCCAUUAGCAGCCAAUUGCCUACAUAUUUCCAAUCCAAUCCCUCUGUUUGCUCCUGUAACCACUGCAUAUCUGAAAUAGAAUAUAUAAGAAAAUAAGUAAAAUAGCUGUUGUAUAUGUGGCGAGAGAUUGUAAAAAGGGCAAGGAAGAAAAACCAAGUACCUCUUUGUUGCUUCAGCCAUUGUUUUUGAGAUGGGAAUUGUGUGUGGAGUAAGAAAAACUCGAGGGGAUUUCAGAUUUAUUUUAAGGUGUGAAAAAGAUUUGGCUUCUGGACAUUUAUCAUCAUAUCAAUUUUUACAAUCAAUGAGGACGAUUUUUUUCCUUUUGUAUUUUCUAUUUCCAGAAAAGUAAAUAGGGGAUUUAUUUCCUUAUGAUAUUGAUUGGAUAACUCACUAGUCAAAAUUGCUUUUGGAAACAAUAUGAAAUAGAAAACAUGUAAAUUAAACCAGAUUUGUGGCCUGCUAUUGAGGGUGGCAGAACAUGAAGAACAAAAAAAAAAAAAAAAAAAAAAACAGGGCAAGUGAGUGUGUGAUUUUGGGCUUGUAUUUGGGGUUUUACCUUGGAAAAUUGUUUUGGUAUUUUUGGUCUUGUAUUAUUGAUUGUGAAAUAGUGAAAACUAAUCCAUGGAUGUAGGUUGGUUUUGACCGAACCACAUAAACCUUUGUGUCUUGAUUAUCAUUUCUUUGGUGUUUGUGUGCAUAAGUUCUUCUUUGUUGUGUGGGUAGUUUUGCAGUUGCAAGGAGUUUGUGCAUUGUAUUGAGUUGGUUGAUUAUUUCUUCUUCAUAUUCCCAUAAUUGGUGUAGUGAACGUGGAAUUAUUGAAGAUGGCUACAACUAAGUUUGAGAUGCAACAAUUCAACAGCAAGGGAGACUUCAGCAUUUGGUUGUAGCAUAUGAGAGCAAUCUUGGUUCAACAAAAGGUUCCUCAAGCACUACAAGGAGAAAAGAACCUUCCAAGCACCAUGAUAGACACAAAGACGCUCAAAACGACAUAUAGCACUAUAUAUGAUCUUGUAUCUUAGUGACAGUGUUUUAAGAAGUGCAACAAGGAGACAACUAUAGUAGGCUUAUGGCUAAAGUUGGGGAGUCUUUAUAUGACAAAAUCUCUCAUGAAUCGGAUUUAUUUGAAGGUAAAACUAUUUGGGUUCAAGAUGCAGGAGGACAAGAAUCUUGAUGAGAACCUCGAUGAAUUCAAUAAGUUGGUUAUUAAAUAGGAGAACAUUGGAGAAAAAAUCAACGAUGAAAAUUAGACGAUCAUAUUAUUGAACUUGUUACCAUCAACCUACAGUCAACUUCGCGAUACCAUUAAGUAUGGUAGGGAUACAUUGUCCUUUGAUGACUUGGAAUCGGCUAUCAAGUCUAAAGGGAAUUGAGGGUAGAGAAAAAGACAAAUAGUCGCAACAAGCUCUUAAUGUUCGAGGUAGAAUGGAGAAAAGAGACAAAAAGAACAAAGGUAAAUCAAGAUCCAAAUUGUAGAGAAAGUUCAAGUGUUAUCACUGCAACAAGAAGGGUCACAUAAGGAGAGAGUGCCUUGAUAGGAAGAAAAAGUCAAAUGAUAAGCAGGAAUCUGGAGACACAUCAGUGGUGUUGGGUGGUUAUGAAUCAAUAAAGGUACUUGUUCACUCAACACAAGAUACUCAUAAAGAGUGGGUUUUAGACUUUGGGUGCUCAUUUUAUAUGAGUCCAAAUUAUGAGUGGUUUCAAACAUUCAAGGAAAUUCAUGGAGGGACCGUCUUACUUGGCAACAACAAGGCAUGUAAGAUAUGAAGAAUUGGAUCCAUUAAGUGUGAAUGUUUGAUGGUUGUAAUAGAGUGCUACAAAAUGUACAGUAUGUUCCAGAGCUUAGGAGAAAUUUAAUUUCUCUUGGGAUGCUUGAUUCGAUAGGUUGUUCUGUCAAAAUUGAAAACGGGGUGAUGAAAGUUGUGAAAAGUGCAUUAACCGUGAUGAUAGAGGUUCUUUCAAAUGGUUUAUACUCUUUUAUUGGUUCAACAGAAUAUGAAAUUACAUCAUCUGUUGUAAUAGAAUAUUAGGAUGACACAACGAAUAAGACUAUUUUAGCAAAUGGUGAGAAUUUCACAAUAGAACGCAAAAUCGUCUACAAAUGAGAGUAAUAAAUCUAAUUUAUGCCACAAGAGGCUAGGGCAUGUAAGUGAGAAAGGUCUAAAUGAGUUGUAUAAAAUGGGGCUGCUUGACAUAAAAAAAAAAAAAAAAACCCUCGGGAAUUUAGAGUUUUGCGAACAUUAUGUGUAUGGUAAAAGUCAUAGGGUGAAGUUUAGUAAAUCAAUGCAUACAACUCAAGGGAUUCUAGACUAUGUUCAUGCGAAUCUCUAGGGUGCAAUGCAAGUUCAAUCCCAUGAUGGAGGCAAGCAUUUUUUUUAUAUCUCAACAACACUAAAAGGAUGAUUAUCAAUUAGUAAGAGACAAGUAGAGAAGAGUUAUAAGACCACCUUAGAAGUAUGGUUAUGAAGACUUAGCAGCUUUUGCUUUUACAGUUGCUAGUGAGUCUCUAAAUCAAGAACUAGAAAGCUAUCAACAACCAAUGAGUUGUGAUGACAAAGAAAAAUGGUAGAAGGCCAUCGAAGAUGAAAUUGAAUCCUUAUAGAAGAACAAGACUUGGAUUUUGGUGGAGAAACCAAAAAAUAAGAAGUUUGUUGACUGUAAGUGGAUUUAAAAGAAGAAAAAUGUUAUACCAGGAGUAGAGAAAACACGACACAAUGCCAGGAUGGUUGCUAGAGGCUUUACACAAAAAUAAGGAGUGGAUUACACAGAGAUAUUCUCUUUAGUGGUGAAACAUAGUUCAAUCCAGAUUUUGCCAACUAUGGUGGCACAUUUUGACAUGGAGCUCGAGCAAAUGGAUGUCAAAACAAUGUUUUUUUAUGGUGAGAUUGAGAAGACUAUUUACAUGAGGCAACCUAACGGUUUUGAAAUUAAAAGCAAGGGAGAUAAGAUUUGUCUAUUAAAUAAAUCAUUGUAUGGUUUGAAACAGUUCUCUCGACAAUGAUGCUUUGAAAGAAGCCAAUUUAAUAAUUGUGAUUACUUCAAGAAGAAAUUAGGUGCUAGUAAUGUCUAUCUUCUAUUGUAUGUUGAUGACAUGUUGUUGGCAAGUUGUGACAAGGCAUCGAUUGAUGAUAUGAAGAAACAACUGAGAAGAAGAUUUGAGAUGAAGGAUUUGGGACCUACCCAAAGAAUACAAAUAGAAAAAGGAAGAAUUUUACUAAAAAAUGGUAUGUUAAUAAGGUGUUGGAGAGGUUUGGCAUGAGUCAAGCAAACCUGUUAGCACUCCACUAGCACAACACUUUAAAAUGACAAAAGAGAAUUCACCUAAGACUGAGAAAGAAGUCAAGUACAUGGAAGAAAUACCAUGUGCUAGUAUUGUUGGUAACAUCAUGUAUACAAUGGUAUGUAGUAGGUCGGAUUUGGCCUAUGCUGCUAGCAUGAUAAGUAGAUUUAUGUCAAAUCUAGGAAAGAAACAUUGGAAUGCAGUGAAAUGGGUCCUAAGGUUUUUGAAAGGAUCUACUGAUGUUGGAAUUCUUUAUGGAGGUGGAGCUGUUGGAGAGUUAGGUGUUGUUUUAGGUAUGUAGAUUCUGAUUAUAUAGGAAGUGUGGACACAAGGAGAUCUUUGACAAGAUAUGUUUUCACAUUGUUUGUUGGAACUAUAAGUUGGAAGUUAGUCUUCAAUCCAUGGUGAUUCUAUCCUUGAUUGAAGUUGAAUAUGUAGCUCUUACAGAAUCUUUGUGGGUUAAGGGGAUAAUUGGUAAGCUAGGGUUAGCACAUAAGAUAUUGACAGUUUAUUGUGAUAAUCAAAGUGCAAUUUGCUUGACAAAGAAUAUCAUAUUUCAUGAAAGAACGAAGCAUAUAGAUGUUUCCUAAGAGAUGUGAUGUCGAAAUGUGAAGUUCUGGUUGAGAAGAUUCAAAUGGAUGACAACCCAACUGAUAUAUUGACGAAGACAUUGGCAACUAUCAAGUUCAAGCAUUGCUUGAGCUUGAUAAAUAUUUUGGGCAGUUGAGAGAAGAUGGAGUAGCAGCAGUUGGAUGAUGACUUCGAAGCCAAGUGGAGAUUUGUGAAAAAGAUUUGGCUUUUGAACAUUUAUCAUCAUACCAAUUUUUACAAUCAAUUAAGAAGAUUUUUUUUCCUUUUGUAUUUUUUGUUUCCAAAAAAGUAAAUAGGGGAUUUAUUUCCUUAUGAUAUUGAUCAGGUAAGUAAUUAGUCAAAAUUGCUUUUGGGAAAUAAUAUGGAAUAGGAAACACGGUGUAAGUCAAACCAGAUUUGUGGCUUACUAUCGAGGAUGGCACAACAUGAAGAAGAUAAAAAAUAAAAUAAAAUAAUAAUAAUAAUAAUAAUAAUAAUAAUAAGGCAAGUGAGUUUGUGAUUUUGGGCUUGUAAUUUGGGGUUUUACCUUGGGAAAUUGUUCUUGUAUUUUUGGCUUUGUAUUAUUGACUGUGAAAUUGUGAAAACUAUUGCUACAAUCCAUGGAUGUAGGUCGGUUUUGACCGAACCACAUAAACCUUUGUGUCUUGAUUAUCAUUUCUUUGGUGUUUGUGUGUGUGAGUUCUUUGUUGUGUGGAUAGUUCUGCAGCUGCAAGGAGUUUGUGCAUUGAAUUGUAUUAAGUUGGUUGAUUAUUUCUUCUUCAUAUUCCCACAUAAGGAUUGUUUACAUUUUCAACUUUGAUAUUUCGUGAUUAAGUGUAAUGAUUAAAGAGGAUUGGUCAGGAAUCUACAUAGAAAAGGGUUAAGCUUGGACAAGAUAUCCUGAACUUCUUCUUGGAAGGAAUCUGACGGAGAAAACUAGGGAACCCAAGAACCAAAACAAAUUAAAGAUGUUGAGCCAAAAGAAGGGAGAUGAACUUUCCCUCAACAGGCUUCUAACAUUUAUUUCAAUUCUAAGAUAUAUUUGAGUUCCAUGAAUUAGCAGAGAGAAAAAAUAAUGCAUAUUGUUGCGAUAGCUUUAUAUGAAAUCAUUACUAUUUUAGGAUUGAAUUUUAUAUUUAAUAUUUUUAUUUUAAAUUAUUUUUAUUAAAAAAUAAGAAUAAUUUUCAUUUAAAAAAAAAUUAAAUUAAAUAAAUUUUAUUUAAUACAAGUCUUAAAAGUCUUGAAGUGUUUAUAGACCUUUCUUUAAGUAUUUCAACAUAAAUAAAUAAAUAAAUUUCAAAACUCAUUCUCUAGAUGUCAUUUGUUUUCCAAAUUAAAAAAUAUUAAUAGCUUAUUCUAUUUUGUAUUCCGAUUAACAUCUUCCAUAUUUAUUUAUUUAUUUAGUAGAUUUGCAAAUUGAUGAUUAUACUCAUCUAUUGCUCUUUAUUGAUUUUAUAAUUUUAAAACUAUUAUGAUGUAUGAAAUUUUAUUUUGAUUAUAAAAAAUUUUAAAAACCAACAUGAAAAAUAUUAAAGUUUGUCUUCCAUGUCAUUGAAUUGCACAAAAAUAUAUUUUCACAUGUGUUUCUCACUUUCUCAUAUUCUAAUAUAGCCCUCAAUUAUUAGUUUACGAGCAUCAUACAUAAUUUAAUUAGUAAGAAAGAAGAAGUAAAAAAUAAAAAUAAAUCAAAUUUAAUAAUUUUCUUUUACAUUCUUGUAUAAGUUUUUAAGAUUUUUCUCUUUAUAUUUUAUUUUAUUUUUCUUCUAUUUGUUUUAGAUCUUCAUAAAUAUUUUUUUUUUAUUGCUUGCAUUAUUUAAACAGAAUGUCACUAUAGCUAAUUUGAUCAAUUGAAUGCUAAUUAAGAAUAUCAAAUUUAUUAUAGUAAUUAGUAAUUAUUAUUAUUAUUAUUAUUAUUAUUAUUUUGUAAUAUUUUCAAAAGAAUAAAUAAACUAGUCAAUGUGUAUGUUAAUUAGACUUCAAAGCAUUAAUCACUUGAAUGUCAUUUUUACAUUUGGUCUUUUUUGUUUGAGGAGCUUAUUAUAUAUAGAUAAUUAUAAACUUUUUUCUCUAACCAAUAUGAGAUAUCACAAUCAUACUUUGGUGUAGGUACAGUGUCUUCAUUGUGUUUUUUAUGGGUUAGACAAUUAAUGCCCCUUACAAAGCUAGAUAAAUUGACUUAUAUGCUUUCGUCAAGGAUCAUCUUUAAAAUCAUUUCUAACAAUAAACUUCCUCUCCUAUAAAUAUUAUUUGUUUUAAGUUAUGAAAAUCAAUCUUUGACUCCAAUGCAAGGUUGUAUACGACCAUGUAAUCUCAUGAAAUAUGACAAGAAUGUUAUGUUUAUAUGAGAAGGGAAGAAAUGAUUGAAAUAUUUUACAUCAAUUGGGAGAAGAUGUUGACAUUAUGUAUGUAGUAGAUUUUUUUAAUUAUAUAAACAUAUUUUAAAAUCAUAAGGGUCUACUAAGAAACAACAAAUAUGUAAUAUCUACAUGAAAAUGAUCACAUUGUUAUAAAUCGACAAAGUCUAUAUUUGAUACCAAUGUAAGGCUUUGUUUAUCUAAUCCCAUAAGGGGUGCAUGUCUCUCUAUCUUUUCCUACAAUCCUAAAAGACACAACAGUGACAUUACAUAUACUCCUCUUCAUGUCUGUGUGAAGAGGUAAUUGUGAUGAUAAAUAUUGAAUAGGGAGAGUUCUCGUUACUACAUUUAUAUAAUAUGUUCUUCUUAAUUAAUAUGUAGAUACAUUUUUAAAAAGUGGAUCAAGAUGUAUAAUAUCUAAAUAAAAGGUAGUAUAUAAUCAUUUCAUUUACUUGGUGAAGUCCUAGAAUUAUAACUUUAACUAACAAUAAAAAUAAAAGAUUAGACUCAACCAAUUCACAAGUUAUUCGUGUCACUAGCUGGCCAAAACCAUCACUUUAAGAGCCAAAUGAAUGAACCAUCAAAACCAUAAAAUAUGACAUUAUUGGUUUAUUUGAUAUUGUUUUCAAAACUUGCCCUUGAAUUUUAUAAUUGGUUUCUCUACUUAUUCUUCAUGAAAGUAGAAUGUAUUUAUAUAUAACACAAAAAUUGCUAAAAUAUUCUCUAUUUUUUCAAUUGUUACUCAUAACAUUUUAGAAAACAGCUCAAAUUUGUUCCAAAUUAAUAAGCACCUUCUUUUCUGAACAAGUAAAAAAAGAAGGAAAAAACACUAUUUUCCUGCAUAUGUAAGAUCACAUACCAUUAUGUGCUUAUAAAGACAUUCAUGCAAACUAUAUGAGAAGUAAUAGACAGUCAGUAUGCUAUGAUGUUCUUACUUCAUAUCUCGUAAUGAAGCAUUUUCAUUUAAAAUUCAGUCACUUCCUUCCGAGAAAAGAAAUGGCCAGAAGGGCCCCCAUCAGGCAACAGAGCUAAUUUCACCGGGCAUUCAGCACCUUCUUCAACAGUUAAGAUGCCAAUGUUGUCGUUGAAAUCUGUUUUGACAUAGCCAGGACAGACACAGUUUAUGCAGAAAGCCGGAUACUUGGUGGCCAGAAUCCUUGUGUAUGCAUUCAAGGCUGCUUUCGAGACCGUAUAUGCAGCGUAAAAAGCAGACCAGUUUUUAGCUUCUAAUAAUCCCUCCUCGAAAUCUUUUAGAAACUGGUUCAACACCUCAUCCACUCUCUCUUCCGUAAGGUUUUCAGCAUCACUUAACACUGCUUUUGCCCAUUCAUUCGUAACAUUCUGGAACAACACAAGAAGAAAAGUAAUGUAAGUUGGGAAGUGCUUGAUGGACUCCCUCUUAAUCAUUCCCAGGAGACCAUUUUCUGGUUGGAAAUGAAAGAAAAGAAGAUCGAAUGAUUCACAGAAACAAAAGGCACUGUCAAUCAACCCUUUUCUUCCAAACAAACCAAGAUGUGUAACGAAAAAUUCAGUAUAUGUCAAACCAAAAUCAUGUGGUUUCGAUUCAACUCAUGUCUAGUUGCAAACAUGGUUGAAUAAAGUAGAUAUAUAUUGUAAUAUCCGGGUUUUUAAAGACCCGUCAGAUUCUUAAAGUAUAAAGUCUUUCAUAAAAUUAUGGGUCAAAUAGUCAAAAAGAGUAGUGAAGAUCUACGUAUUAAUAUUUAAUUGGGAAAGAUUUUGGAAAAAUUAGUCAAAAAUCAAUAGUUUGAAAAUUUUGUCACGUCAAACAUUAGAAAUUAAAUUUAGAUUUGGAGAAAAAUUUAACCAUCAAAUAAUUGAGAUUAAGUUUUGAAAUUUUGAAUUUUAAGUAUGUUACGGGAAUUAAUUUAAUUAUUAUUUAAUAAUUAUCAAAAAAUCAUAGUAAGAAAAACUUUGUAAAAAUUUAUAUUAUAUCAAAUUGUUAUAAUAGAUAAUUAAAAAGAAAUUUAAUUUAAUUUUGUAACGAAUCAAUUUAAUUCUUAUAAUUAAAAUUAAACUUUAUAGAAUUACAAAACAUUAAACAGAGUUAAAUUGAAAUUAAAUUAUGAUAUGUGAAUUUGGAAAAGAUAUACAAAAGGGGUAAGUUAAUUAAAUGUGAAUUUUAUGAAUUUAACUUUUGAAAUUUUGAUGUGAUUUAAUAAUUUGACAAAUGAAGUAAAUUAAAUAAAAAUUAUAUCAAAGGGUUAAAAAAUUGAUUUUUAUAAAUUGAAUGACUAAUUAAUUUAUGAAAUUAAGUUUUAGAAUAUUACUUAAAUUUUUGUUGGUAAAUAAAUACUGGUAAAAUUAAUGGGUUAAGGGUUAUUACAAAUUUCAACUUCUUUGUUGCCAAAAAAAAAAUUUUAUAUUUUCAAUAUUUUAUGGAAUUGAAUUUUGUUAAUAGUUAAUUAUAUUAUGUUUUAAGUGAAUUUUAGAGUAGAAAUAUUUUAGGUAAUUAAAGUCAAAUUAUAUUUUUUUCAAGAGUAGGCUUGUAGUAAAUUUAAUUGCAAAUACGAUAAUAUUUUUCUUGAGACGGAAAAUUAUAAGUUAAGUGUAAUUUAUAAUUGUGAAGUGUGAAGUAAAUAAUGGUAGUUUAAUUUAUUAUUAAAAGAAAGGAAUGGGGAGGCAGGUGCAGGGGAGAUGCAGGGUCCACGUGUCUCCAUCUAUCCGACAGUGAAAUGACCUUCAAUCGUAAUGAAAUUUCAGACGAUGAUAAUCUUCAACGUGGUGAACACUUCUAUAGAGUUGAAUUUUCAAUCCCAUGGUUGGAUUUUACUAUAUAGGUAGGGAUGUGUUUUUCCUAAAUUUCUCUCGAGUUUUUUUGAACUUUUAUUUACUUUCAAAAAACUUCAUGGAAAUGAAUUAAGCAACUAAAAUUUGGGAAUUUGAAAUUCAAAUUCCCUAUCUUCACCUAUAAAUAGAGGUGUCUUCGAUCAAGAAGGAGAAAAUUGAGGAAUCAGAAAAAUCCAGAAAGGAAAAUCCAAGGAGAAAAUCCAAAGGUAACUUCGUACGGGAAAAGGGGUUUCACAACAAAAGAAGCUUCAUCAAAUCUCCCUAUAAGUUCGGUAAAUGGGAAAAAAAAAAAAAAAAGAACUGCUACACACGUUCUUUGUCAUUCAAUAAGGUCAUUCGGGAAUAAACCACUUGUGGCCCUCGAUUGAUCUUCGAAAUCAAAAAAACGUCAUCGUCAUCUUCCAAAGUGUGAUCAAAGUAAAAGAAUUAGAGGGAAAAUAUUCUUUUAGAAAGAAUAUUAUUUUUCUGAGAUUGUACCCACAAUAUAUUUUUAAUUUCAAUAAAUAUUUUGUUCACAUUAUUUUCCUAUUUUGUUUUGCUAAUUUGGCAGGACCAAAAUUUAAGCAAUUUGUGCGUACAAUUGGUUUUGGAAAAAAUAAAAUAAUAUGUUAUAAUAAAUCUUAAUUUAAUAAGUUUAUUUAGGAUUAGACGCUUUAAUGAAAAAAAAAAAAAAACAAGGUGUUUUGAUUGAUUGCCAACGUGGAUAGGAAUAACCAAUGUUUUCAAAAUCGGACCGAUCAUUGAACCGAAAAACCAGACCUAUCAUUGAACCAGAAAAGUUACCAGUUCACAAUUCUCUAGUCGAAUCGUGGUCAAACCAAUGACGUCAUAAAUAUAUAAUUUAUAAAUUAUUAAAUUUUAAAAUAAUUAUAAAAAAAAUAAUAAUUUAUAGAUUAUUUAAAAAUUAAAAUUUUAUUUGAAAAUCAAAAAAUUAGUUUCAAAUUUAAAAUUUAAAUUAAAAUCAUAAUUUUAAUUUACAAUUUUAAAAUUCAUUUUUAAAUUAAAAAAGAAAACUUAUUUUAAAAUCAGAAAUUGAUUUAAAAUUGUAAUUUUUUAUUAAUUUAAAUUAAAAUCAUAAGUUUUAAACAUGAAGUAAAAAAAUAAUAAAUAUAUAAAUAAAUAAAUAAUAUAGAGAUGAGACAAAAAAUAAUAAUUUUAAAAAUAAAUAAAUCUGGAAGAAGGGAUGAGAGGGUCGGGCAAAAAGAUGAUACUUUUUCCAUUGUGGGGGUUCCAAUGGGGGUCGCUAGGAGGGGGGGGGUUUCCUCCAGCAGCAGCACGAGGUGGGGGGNNNNNNNNNNNNNNNNNNNNNNNNNNNNNNNNNNNNNNNNNNNNNNNNNNNNNNNNNNNNNNNNNNNNNNNNNNNNNNNNNNNNNNNNNNNNNNNNNNNNGUUUGGGGGGUGGGGGGAGAAGGGGGUUGGCUUUUCCAACGUGGGGUGUGGGCGAGGGUUCUUGGGGGUAGCAUGGGGGAGUGGGGGGUUGGUUUCCACCAACAGUAGCACGGGGUGGAGGGAUGGGGAAGGGGGUUCCUACAAAAUAAGGGAAUGACCUUUUCCAAUGGGGGUUGUGGGGGGGGUUUUCUGGGGAUCACAAAGGAGAGUGGGGUCCAGCCUCCACCAACAGUAGCAGGGGGUGGGGGUGGGGGAGGGGGUUUCUAGCAAGGUCGUGGAAGGACGGGGUUUCCAGCACGGGCGUGUGUUCCGACGAGCAAAAAAGAGAAGCUUUUCCAACGCAGGGGUCUUGCGGACGGGGGCCGACGACAAUGGGAGGAAAAAAAUAAUUUUAAUCAAACCCAUCGGUUCGAAGAGAACUGGACGGUUCGUCCAAUUUACCGGUUGGAUCGCCGGUUCAAACGGUCCAACCCCAGUUCAAUGCCAUUCCAGUCCAAUUGACCGGGCCGGACCGGAACCGUGACCAGCCGACGGUCGAACCAGUCGGACUGGCUGGUCCAAUCCGAUUUUUAAAAUCAUGGGAAUAACCCUUAGGGUCAAACCUUUGACCUAUGGUCACGAGUUGAGUUGUGGGUUACCCCGAAGCUAGGGCAUGACAUAUAUAUAUACCAACAUUUUUAUUUCUAAAUUGAAUGAGGGUGGUUGGUGUUAUGUUGUACCUGCAACUUCCCUAGAGAGGAGGAGACGUUAACAAUCCUUGGUGAAUCUGAUAAUUGGAGAAGAGGAAUGAAAGCUUCAGCCAUCCUCUUUGGCCCGUAAUAGUUUAUUUUCACGCAUUCUUCCGCCAGCUCCAAGGGCUGAGUCAUUAUACCAUGCCAGUUGACUUGUUCUCCUGCCUGCAAAACAAAAUGAAGAAAAUCUCAAUCUUCUCAGUAGCCAUUCGGAGAAGAAGAAAACUGCUUCUGGUACAUAUAUAACGAGAUUUUCUCCCAUAAUUCUAGAAAAAUUUUCUUUCUUUAAAAUUGUAUAUGAAAACUUAUCUCGGUAGCAGCAACUCCCGAUUCUAAAGCAACAGGAUCCUUUACAAUCGAUCCACUCAUCCCUGCAUUGUUCACCUGUCCAGUAUCCCAAGAAUUAUUCAGCUCCAAAAUUUUCAGGAAUCAUUGGGGAAUUCAUUGGGAAAUCCAUCUCACAAAACAUAUAUAUAUAUAUAUAUAUAUAGAUGAGCACAAUCUAAAGUACCGGAAUUCACAGCUAAAAUUCUUCUUAGGUACUGUUUUCGUGGAUGUGAGGAGGAUAGUUGAUACGGGAGAGAAUCAAAAUAAACAUCACUCAAUCAUAUAGGUUACGAAUGCAAUGUUCUAAAUGAAUUGCCAGAAGAAGAACCAAUAAAACAAAAAAGAUGGAAAAAAAAAAUCAUCAAGAAAUGAUCAGGGUUUCAAUCUUACCAAGAUAUCAAGCUUCCCAAACUGGGUUUUGAUGAAAUCUGCAAAAGAAGCAAUACUAGCAGGGUCCCCAACAUCAAGCUGAUGAAAAACCAGGUUAGAGAGACCAGAUCCAUUGAGACUUUGAAGAGCUUCAACACCCCUCUUUUCAUCUCUAGCUGUUAACACCACUCUCACCCCACUGGCGGCCAACUGCCUACAUAUUUCCAACCCCAUCCCUUUAUUUGCUCCUGUAACAACUGCAGACCUGAAAUUCAAUACACUAGAAAAAUAAGAAAACCAGUUGUUAUAUAUGUGCUUGCAGAUUGUGAAGAGGGGACAUGGGAGAUCAACCAAGUACCUUGUUAUUGCUUCAGCCAUUGUCUGUGAGAUGGUAAAGUUUGAUUAAUUAAUUCACUCUUAUAGCAAGAAUGCUGCUAAAGUUUUCAACAUUGAUAUUUUGAUAGGAAAUUGACGUUUGCGGUCAUAAAAGCAAGGCAGAUGAUUUUCUGGAUAGAGAUAAGACGCAUGUGGUCAUAAAAGACGCUCAUGUAAUAAUAAAGAUUGAUUUUUUUUCAUAUAGGAAAAUGACAUUGUGACAUCAUGGAUGACGCUUUGGAUAGUAAACUACGUCUAUGAUGUCACUAACGACGUUUUUUACAAGUUUCAACCAAUGAAACAUCAUUAAUUUAAUUUUUUUUAAUCAUGUCAUGUGGUCAUAUAUAAAAGCAAGCACAAUAUUAUUAUUGUAAUGAAAAUUGAUAUUCUUAUAUUAUAUAAUCCAAUGACUAAGUCAAAAAUUAAAUUAGACGGUUGGUUUUCAUUUCUUAUUUUUUUGUGGUACUCAUGAUUGAAUAUAAAUAAAUUUAAUACUAGUUUGAAUUGUUUAAAAAAUAAAACUUAAAAAGAAAAUGGUGUUUCAUAAUUGUAUAACUGUUUUGAGAAUUGUUAUAUGAUGUAAGUAUAUAAUCGUUUUAAAAUUUUUGAAAUAUGGUUUUUUUAGAAAAAAUAUGAAAUGUUUUUCAAUCAAAUCAUUUUUAUGGGUUAUUAUUAAAUAUAAUUGAGAUUAUGACAAGCACGUAUUUGAGAUUUUUUUUACAUUCAAAUUCUUAGAUAUAAUCAUGUUAGAAUUAUUUUUAAGAAUAGUUAUUAAUAAGAUAAAAAUCCCUAAAAUUUUCUAUUAUACUAAUUAAAAAAAAAAACUCCUUAUUGUAAGGUCAGUAAAUAAGAAAUUGACUAUAAUUUAAAAAAAUAAAAAAUCUUCUAUUUAAAAAAGAACAAUUUGGUUUUAGAACAAAUACUGAUAAAAACUAGUUUCAAUUGUUCAAGAAUCCAAGAUCACAAGUCAUUAUGCAGUUAGAAAGACAUUCCAACAUAAAAAUUAGUCACCCUACAAAUCUAUGCUCACAUGCCAUAUGUACUAACAAAGCAUUCUAGCAUAAAAAUUAAUCAUAAGCAACCUGGGAUUCAUACAAAUUAUAGAGAAGCCAUAAACAGUAUCUCUGUGCUAUGAUGUUCUUAGUUCAUAUGUAGUAAUGAAUCUUUUUCAGUUAAAAUUCAGACACUUCCUUCCGAACGAAGAAUUGGCCGGAAGGCCCCCCAUCAGGCAGCAGAGCCAAUCUCACAGGGCUUUCAGCACCUUCUUCGAUAGUUAAGAUGCCACUGUUGUAGUUUAGAUCUGUUUUGACAAAGCCAGGACAGACACAGUUGAUGCAAAGAGUAGGACACUUCCUGGCCAGAAUCCUUGUGUAGGCAUUCAAGGCUGCUUUUGAGACUGUAUAGGCAGAGACAUUAGAGGGCCAGCUUUUAGCUUCUAAUAAUCCCUCUUUGAAAUCUUUUAGAAACUGGUUUAAGACCUCAUCCACCCUCUCUUCUGUAAGGUUUUCAGCAUCACUUAACACUGCUUUUGCCCAUUCAUUCUUAAUAUUCUGGAACAACACAAAAAAGAAAAUUAAUGUAAGCAAAAAUACGACUUGGGGAAAUGCUUCAUUGACUCCCACACAAACAAAAGGCAACAGCCCUUAAUCAUUCACAGCAGAUGAUUUCCAGGAAAAUAAGCAAGUUAUGUGCAUUAUAUAAUAGUAUGCAUUACCUCAAUAUUAUUAAUUACACUUACCAAACAGCAUCAAUCAACCCUUUUCUUCAUAUGGUUUUCUUCUAAACAAAUCAAGAUGUGACAAGUAGAUCUUCCAUCACCAAUCUAAAGUUCAAUAAGCUUACAAAAAUAUUUUGCUCUGUUGACUCAAUCAAGGCAUCUUUUGAGUGGAGCUGUAAUGAAAAAUUCACAACGAAACUUGAUCCUUCCAAGUUUCAAACUGAAUCAUUUGGCUCCAAUCCAACUCUACUGAAUUUCAUCAAAUUGCCCAAUUACAAACAUGGUUGAACAUCUUAAGUAUAUAUCAACAUUGUAUUCUGAAUGAGGAUUAGUGUUAUUUUGCACCUGCAGCUUUCCCAUUGAGGAGGAAACAUUGACAAUCCUUGGCGAAUCUGAUAACUGGAGAAGAGGAAUGAAAGCUUCAAUCAUCCUCUUUGGCCCAUAAUAGUUUAUUUUCAGGCAUUCUUCCACCAGCUCGAAAGGCUCAAUCAUUAUUUCCUUCCAAUUGACUUUUCCUACUGCCUGCAAAAUAAAAUGAAGAAAAUCUCAAUCCUCUUGGUAGCCAUUAUAUUCCCUACUCCAACAUAAAAAGAGAAGAAGAAAACUGCUUCUGGUAUGCAACAAGAUUUUCUUCCAUAAUUCUAGUUUCUAGAAAAGAUUUUCAUCUUCCUUUCAAGAGAAGGUAGAAGAAAAACUCAACAGCAUGGGGCCUUAGAAGUCUAAAUGUUGCUCCUUUUCAACUUUCAAAUAUACCCCAAUGGCUAUUAGAAUUUCAAAUCCACUCUUCUUUGAACUUACAACCACAAUCAAUUGCUUUAAGCCAAUAAAGAAAUUGUGUAUGAUACCUUACCUCAGCAGAAGCAUAUCUUGACCUUAAAGCAUCAGGAUCCGUUACAACCGUUCCACCUAUCCCUGCAUUGUUCACCUGUCCAGUAUCACACAUUUCUAUUAUCCAAUUUUUAACUAUAAAAGAACAAAAAAAUAAAGAAAUAAAAAGAAAGUUAUUAGAUACCUUCCAGCUAUUUAGAGGUCCUCCAUUCCUCAAGAAAUAUUCACUUCAAAAAUUUUCAAAGAAUCAUGGUGGAUAAGGAGAGAUUUGUUUUCUCAAGUGCAAACAUAUAUGGAAUUCAUUGGCAAAUCCACCUCAUAAAAGUUUAUGCAACUCCAUAUGGAUUGAUGGAUAUAAAAAAGAGAGAAAAUGAUGGAACCGAGGAGAGUAAAUAGGGCACUGGUUUAUAGUGGAAUAAGUAUAAUGAUAUACAAUCUGGACAUUACACAAUACAAAAAUUCUACUUGUGGGAACGGUCAAACCAAAGGACACAUGUUAUACGAAGAGACACGAGUCAUUUGGCGAUAGGGAUUUCAAUGGCAAUGACCUAGAAUGACCGCCCUGCUUUGAGGCAACCAUUGCAACAAGAUGUGAACCUUUCCCCUCUUAGGAUGGCAGACAUUGCAUCUAUUGUGACGAGAUAAACAAUAAAUGCUAUUAACUCCUCCUACAUUGCAUCAGAAGAACCUUCAACAUAAAUUAUGAAGCUAUGAUAGUUAAUCAAGGACAAGAUUAGGUGAUCAAUCACUCAGCUAUAGAAUGGAGCAGACAGCUCAAUAACUGGUGGGAUCAGACCCACCAAAUCAGUGCAACCCUGAAUGAUAUAAAGACCCACAAGGGAAGGGGGAUUUCUCUAUUUUGAAUUCCUUCUCUUACCAAUUUAUCUAUUUAAGCCCUUGAGAUGCCCAUCAUCGACUUGAUCCUCAGAAAAGAAUUGACCUAACUGGCCUCCCCACUCUAACCAUGCAUUUUAGUGUUAUAGAGGAAGGCUCAUCAAUAAGAAAGGUUAGCAACUUGCUUGGAGGGUGAAACUCUACUCAGACAGAAAACUUUAGUUUUUAACAUGGACUAUGUAGCAUAUAUUUGGAUAAGGUUAUGCUCCAAUCUCCACUGCUAGCAAAAAUAGGGGCACAACCUCAAGGACCUGACUUCCCAGCUAGAAUUCUUCUUAGGUACUGUUUUUGUGGAUGGGAGAGGAUAGUUGAUAUAGAAGAGAAUCCAAAAGAAACAUUAGUCAAUCAUAUACGUCACAAUUUCAAUGUUUCUAGCGUAUUUCUCUCCAGUAAACCGAGGCCCUUCUUUCCUCACAUAGAACAACAACAAAAGGUUCUCCAUUUUGGUGGUUGCUUCAGAUAAAGUGGUCUAUCACAGUACAAAAGACAUGCCAAUUGAAGGCAAAUGGGAAAUUUGCUAUCUUAAAAAAUCAUCAUAAUCAUUGAAAUUGUCAGAGACAUUCAUAAACAUAUUCUCAGAAAAGGGGGAAAUUGAAAGGAAAAUUUUGGGUAAAUUGGGUAUGCUGUAAAUCAUCAAUCCAGGAGUAUCCAAGACUUGUGAUUGCCAUAAGAAGAACCAAUUAAACCAGAGAAAAAAAAAAAGGAAAAAAAUCAUCAAGAACUGAGGGUUUCAAUCUCACCAAGAUAUCAAGCUUCCCAAACUGGGCUUUGAUGAAAUCUGCAAUGGAAGAAAUACUAGCAGGAUCCCCAACAUCAAGCUGAUGAAAAACCAGAUUAGAGAGACCAGAUCCUUUGAGACUUUCUAGAGCUUCAAGACCCCUCUUCUCAUCUCUAGCUGUUAACACCACUCUCACCCCAUUGGCAGCCAACUGCCUACAUAUUUCCAACCCAAUCCCUUUAUUUGCUCCCGUAACAACUGCAUACCUGAGUCACACCCAAUACACAAGAAAGUAAGAACAACAGUUGUUUUAUAUGUGGUUGGAGAUUGUGAAAAGGGCCAUGGGAUAAAAACCAAGUACCUUGUUGCUGCUUCAGCCAUUGUUGAUGAGAUGGGUACUGUGUUUGAAGUGCGGAAGAAGAUGGAAUUUUUGUUUCAUUGCAAGGUUUGUUGUACUAAAAACAAGAGCAAUGAAGAUUAUUGUAAUGCAUUCGAUUGAGACAGAAAUUACAAUUUACAAGUAGAGUUGUUGUUCCCUUUCUUAUUUUUUGUGGUACUCAUGAUUGGAUAUCGACAAAUUUAACAGGCUUUAGUUUGAAUUGUUUGGCAAAUCAAACUUGGUGUUUGGUAAUUGUUUCUAAAACUGCUAUACUAUAUAACCAAUUUUUUUGAUAAUUCAUUUUAAAAAUAUAAAGUUUUUUAAAAUAGAUUUAAUAUAUUUUUUUUAUCAUUUUGUGUAAAAUAUUAUUAAAAAUUUACCUUUGAUUUUUCAAACACAAUCUUAUUUUAAUUAUUUUUUAAAAUUAUUCUUGAUAAAAAUAAAAUAAAAAUAACAAGCCUUAAAUUUUUUUAUUAUACAAAGUCUAAGGUUAAUUAUAAAUUUAGAUAAAAAAAAUUUCCUACACAAAACAAAGACUUUUAAAAACAAGUAGUAGACUUGGAAGAAAAAAGGAAAAAAUGAAAUUCUAUUUCAUAUAUUAUGAAAGCGUGGGCCUUUUUAUAAUUAUUUCAUUUAUUAUGAAAAUGAGUUUCCUAAAUAUUCCCUUAUAUUACCCAUGUGAUAGAUGGUUUCUCUUCUCAAUUAUUUUGGAUAUCUUUUUAAUUACUCUCUAAUUUCAAAUUAUUUGACAUUAACGAGUUCAACAAGACAAAUUGAAGUUUUGCCCUUUCAAUAUAAGUCCUUAAUUUGAAUUAACUUAUGCAAUUCUUUGAAUAUUUACAAUAUAUAUAUAUAUAUAUAUAUAUAUAUAUAUAUAUAUAUAUAUAUAUAUAUAUAUAUAUAUAUAAGGGUUUGACUUUGACAAACUCUUAUCUCCCUGCCCUUUGCACCUUACCCCUUGAGGAAUCUAUGGGAAAAAAACAAGACACUUGUAAAAAAUAAAACAAUACAUGAUUUAAAUUUAGAACAAGACAGAUGUUGACUCUUCAACAUUUUAAUAGAUAACGAAUUUAUUAUAGGACAAGUUCCAAAAAAUUAAUCAGUUUAUAAAUUUAUUAUAAUCUAAACCUAAUUUUUUAGCAUACAAACCACACCCAAGUUUCUAAAUAUGUAUGUGGUCAUAAAAGCAAUUGCAAAUGCAAGGCAGAUGAUGACGCUCAUGUGAUAAUGAAGAUUGAUUUUUUUCAUAUAGGAAAAUGACAUUGUGACAUCAUGGAUCACGCUUUGGAUAGUAAACUGCGUCUAUGAUGUCACUAAUGACGUUUUUUACAAGUUUCAACCAAUGAAACAUCAUUAAUUUAAUUUUUUUAAUCAUGUCAUGUGGUCAUAUAUAAAAGCAAGCACAAUAUUAUUAUUGUAAUGAAAAUUGAUAUUCUUAUACGAUAUAAUCCAAUGACUAAGUCAAAAAUUAAAUUAGACGGUUGGUUUUCAUUUCUUAUUUUUUUGUGGUACUCAUGAUUGAAUAUAAAUAAAUUUAAUACUAGUUUGAAUUGUUUAAAAAAUAAAACUUAAAAAGAAAAUGGUGUUUCAUAAUUGUAUAACUGUUUUGAGAAUUGUUAUAUGAUGUAAGUAUAUAAUCGUUUUAAAAUUUUUGAAAUAUGGUUUUUUUAGAAAAAAUAUGAAAUGUUUUUCAAUCAAAUCAUUUUUAUGGGUUAUUAUUAAAUAUAAUUGAGAUUAUGACAAGCACGUAUUUGAGAUUUUUUUUACAUUCAAAUUCUUAGAUAUAAUCAUGUUAGAAUUAUUUUUAAGAAUAGUUAUUAAUAAGAUAAAAAUCCCUAAAAUUUUCUAUUAUACUCAUUAAAAAAAAACUCCUUAUUGUAAGGUGAGUAUAUAAGAAAUUGAUUAUAAUUUUAAAAAAAAAAAUCUUCUAUUUUAAAGAGAACAACUUGGUUUUAGAACAAAUACUGAUAAAAACAAGUUUCAAUUGUUCAAGAAUCCAAGAUCACAAGUCAUUAUGCAGUUAGAAAGACAUUCCAACAUAAAAAUUAGUCACCCUACAAAUCUAUGCUCACAUGCCAUAUGUACUAACAAAGCAUUCUAGCAUAAAAAUUAAUCAGUUUAUAAAUUUAUUCUAAUCUAAACCUAAUUUUUUAGCAUACAAACCACACCCAAGUUUCUAAAUAUGUAUGUGGUCAUAAAAGCAAAUGCAAAUGCAAGGCAGAUGAUGACGCUCAUGUGAUAAUAAAGAUUGAUUUUUUUCAUAUAGGAAAAUGACAUUGUGACAUCAUGCAUCACACUUUGGAUAGUAAACUGCGUCUAUGAUGUCACUAACGACGUUUUUUACAAGUUUCAACCAAUGAAACAUCAUUAAUUUAAUUUUUUAUAAUCAUGUCAUGUGGUCAUAUAUAAAAGCAAGCAAAAUAUUAUUAUUGUAAUGAAAAUUGGUAUUCUUAUAUGAUAUAAUCCAAUGACUAAGUCAAAAAUUAAAUUAGACGGUUGGUUUUCAUUUCUUAUUUUUUUGUGGUACUCAUGAUUGAAUAUAAAUAAAUUUAAUACUAGUUUGAAUUGUUUAAAAAAUAAAACUUAAAAAAAAAAUGGUGUUUCAUAACUGUAUAACUGUUUUGAGAAUUGUUAUAUGAUGUAACUAUAUAAUCGUCUUAAAAUUUUUUAAAUAUGGUUUUUUUAGAAUAAAUAUGAAAUGUUUUUAAAUCAUUUUUAUGGGUUAUUAUUAAAUAUAGUUGAGAUUAUGACAAUUACGUAUUUGAGAUUUUUUUUUACAUCAGAUAUAAUCUUGUUAGAAUUAUUUUUAAGAAUAGUUAUUAAUAAGAUAAAAAUCCCUAAAAUUUUCUAUUAUACUAAUUAAAAAAAAAACUCCUUAUUGUAAGGUCAGUAAAUAAGAAAUUGAUUAUAAUUUUUUUUUUAAAAUCUUCUAUUUAAAAAAGAACAAUUUGGUUUUAGAACACUGAUAAAAACUAGUUUCAAUUGUUCAAGAAUCCAAGAUCACAAGUCAUAUGCAGUUAGAAAGACAUUCCAACAUAAAAAUUAGUCACCCUACAAAACUAAACUCACAUGCCAUAUGUACUAACAAAGCAUUCCAGCAUAAAAAUUAAUCAUAAGCAAUUCUGGGUAGUCUUAUUAGCCUAGGAUUCAUACAAAUUAUAGAGAAGCCAUAAACAGUAUCUCUGUGCUAUGAUGUGCUUAGUUCAUAUGUAGUAAUGAAUCUUUUUCAGUUAAAAUUCAGACACUUCCUUCCGAACGAAGAAUUGGCCGGAAGGCCCCCCAUCAGGCAGCAGAGCCAAUCUCACAGGGCUUUCAGCACCUUCUUCGAUAGUUAAGAUGCCACUGUUGUAGUUUAGAUCUGUUUUGACAAAGCCAGGACAGACACAGUUGAUGCAAAGAGUAGGAUACUUCCUGGCCAGAAUCCUUGUGUAGGCAUUCAAGGCUGCUUUUGAGACUGUAUAGGCAGAGAGAUUAGAGGGCCAGCUUUUAGCUUCUAAUAAUCCCUCUUUGAAAUCUUUUAGAAACUGGUUUAAGACCUCAUCCACCCUCUCUUCUGUAAGGUUUUCAGCAUCACUUAACACUGCUUUUGCCCAUUCAUUCUUAAUAUUCUGGAACAACACAACAAGAAAAGUGAUGUAAGCAAAAAUACGACUUGGGGAAAUGCUUCAUUGACUCCCACACAAACAAAAGCCAACAGCUCUUAAUCAUUCACAACAGAUAAUUUCCAGGAAAAUAAGCAAGUUAUGUGCAUUAUAUAAUAGUAUGCAUUACCUCAAUAUUAUUAAUUACACUUACCAAACAGCAUCAAUCAACCCUUUUCUUCAUAUGGUUUUCUUCUAAACAAAUCAAGAUGUGACAAGUAGAUCUUCCAUCACCAAUCUAAAGUUCAAUAAGCUUACAAAAAUAUUUUGCUCUGUUGACUCAAUCAAGGCAUCUUUUGAGUGGAGCUGUAAUGAAAAAUUCACAACGAAACUUGAUCCUUCCAAGUUUCAAACUGAAUCAUUUGGCUCCAAUCCAACUCUACUGAAUUUCAUCAAAUUGCCCAAUUACAAACAUGGUUGAACAUCUUAAGUAUAUAUCAACAUUGUAUUCUGAAUGAGGAUUAGUGUUAUUUUGCACCUGCAGCUUUCCCAUUGAGGAGGAAACAUUGACAAUCCUUGGCGAAUCUGAUAACUGGAGAAGAGGAAUGAAAGCUUCAAUCAUCCUCUUUGGCCCAUAAUAGUUUAUUUUCAGGCAUUCUUCCACCAGCUCGAAAGGCUCAAUCAUUAUUUCCUUCCAAUUGACUUUUCCUACUGCCUGCAAAAUAAAAUGAAGAAAAUCUCAAUCCUCUUGGUAGCCAUUAUAUGCCCUACUCCAACAUAAAAAGAGAAGAAGAAAACUGCUUCUGGUAUGCAACAAGAUUUUCUUCCAUAAUUCUAGUUUCUAGAAAAGAUUUUCAUCUUCCUUUCAAGAGAAGGUAGAAGAAAAACUCAACAGCAUGGGGCCUUAGAAGUCUAAAUGUUGCUCCUUUUCAACUUUCAAAUAUACCCCAAUGGCUAUUAGAAUUUCAAAUCCACUCUUCUUUGAACUUACAGCCACAAUCAAUUGCUUUAAGCCAACAAAGAAAUUGUAUAUGAUACCUUACCUCAGCAGAAGCAAUUCUUGACCUUAAAGCAUCAGGAUCCGUUACAACCGUUCCACCUAUCCCUGCAUUGUUCACCUGUCCAGUAUCACACAUUUCUAUUAUCCAAUUUUUAACUAUAAAAGAACAAAAAAAUAAAGAAAUAUAAAGAAAGUUAUUAGAUACCUUCCAGCUAUUUAGAGGUCCUCCAUUCCUCAAGAAAUAUUCACUUCAAAAAUUUUCAAAGAAUCAUGAUGGAUAAGGAGAGAUUUGUUUUAUCAAGUGCAAACAUAUAUGGAAUUCAUUGGCAAAUCCACCUCAUAAAAGUUUAUGCAACUCCAUAUGGAUUGAUGGAUAUAAAAAAGAGAGAAAAUGAUGGAACCGAGGAGAGUAAAUAGGGCACUGGUUUAUAGUGGAAUAAGUAUAAUGAUAUACAAUCUGGACAUUACACAACACAAAAAUUCUACUUGUAGGAACGGUCACACCAAAGGACACAUGUUAUACGAAGAGACACGAGUCAUUUGGCGGUAGGGAUUUCAAUGGCAAUGACCUAGAAUGACCGCCCUGCUUUGAGGCAACCAUUGCAACAAGAUGUGAACCUGUCCCCUCUUAGGAUGGCAGACAUUGCAUCUAUUGUGAUGAGAUAAACAAUAAAUGCUAUUAACUCCUCCUACAUUGCAUCAGAAGAACCUUUAACAUAAAUUAUGAAGUUAUGAUAGUUAAUCAAGGACAAGAUUAGGUGAUCAAUCACUCAGCUAUAGAAUGGAGCAGACAGCUCAAUAACUGGUGGGAUCAGACCCACCAAAUCAGUGCAACCCUGAAUGAUAUAAAGACCCACAAGGGAAGGGGGAUUUCUCUAUUUUGAAUUCCUUCUCUUACCAAUUUAUCUAUUUAAGCCCUUGAGAUGCCCAUCAUCGACUUGAUCAUCAGAAAAGAAUUGGCCUAACUGGCCUCCCCACUCUAACCAUGCAUUUUAGUGUUAUAGAGGAAGGCUCAUCAAUAAGAAAGGUUAGCAACUUGCUUGGAGGGUGAAACUCUACUCAAACAGAAAACUUUAGUUUUUAACAUGGACUAUGUAGCAUAUAUUUGGAUAAGGUUAUGCUCCAAUCUCCACUGCUAGCAAAAAUAGGGGCACAACCUCAAGGACCUGACUUCCCAGCUAGAAUUCUUCUUAGGUACUGUUUUUGUGGAUGGGAGAGGAUAGUUGAUAUAGAAGAGAAUCCAAAAGAAACAUUAGUCAAUCAUAUACGUCACAAUUUCAAUGUUUCUAACGUAUUUCUCUCCAGUAAACCGAGGCCCUUCUUUCCUCACAUAGAACAACAACAAAAGGUUCUCCAUUUUGGCGGUUGCUUCAGAUAAAGUGGUCUAUCACAGUACAAAAGACAUGCCAAUUGAAGGCAAAUGGGAAAUUUGCUAUCUUCAAAAAUCAUCAUAAUCAUUGAAAUUGUCAGACAUUCAUAAACAUAUUCUCGAAAGAGGGGGAAAUUGAAAGGAAAAUUUUGGGUAAAUUGGGUAUGCUGUAAAUCAUCAAUCCAGGAGUAUCCAAGACUUGUGAUUGCCAUAAGAAGAACCAAUUAAACCAGAGAAAAAAAAAAGGAAAAAAAUCAUCAAGAAAUGAGGGUUUCAAUCUCAC
rnacentral:lncRNA from 1 species